rnacentral:lncRNA from 1 species
UUAAAAGAUGGGAUUGAAGUAAUACUAUUAUUUUGAAGAUUAUUAAUUGAAAAUAUUUGAUGUAAUCUAAAAUUUUUAACUUUAAAAUAUAAUAAUAAAAGCAUAAUUGAAAACAUGCCGACAAAUUAAAAGCAAAUAGAUAUUUCAUGGAAAGAAUCUUAUUGCUGCACAAAUUGAUUAGAACAACACAUGAGAUGAGCAUCCCCAACUUUACUUUUCACCUUUUUUAGUAAAUUAUAAAAUAAUCCAUCACAUGAUGUAACAUCAUUAAAUGAUGAUGUGUCAUCCCCAUCAUUCACAUCAUUUUAGCCACCAAAGAUUAAAGAUUAUAAUUUCCAACAGCCCACAAAUUUCAUAAGAAAAACACAGAUAAUUUAAUGUGCAAUUCAUAACAGAAAAAAGAUUAGAAAGGGGACCACCGCCACCGGUGGUAACUUAAAAUGAUCUGUUUUAUAGCUUGGAGACUUGCAUCCUGCCAACGCCGCCGGUGGUCUCGAAAGAGAUUGUCGAAAACAGAAGUUCACAAACAACAACGAAAGCACUAAAUUUGAUAGCGAAGAAGGAAGCCCGAAAGCCAUCUCCCAUAACCAAAUCCCAUCAACCCAUACCAUCUGCUAACUAUCAAAACCCUCCACCACCAUCCAUCAUCUUCAUUUCAUCCACUAACAUCUUCACCACUACCAUGACCUUAUUCAUGACAAACCCAACAACACCAUCCCUCACCAAAUAAACCCAUGUUUAAAUCAAUCAACAACCCAACCACACAACAAUUAAUAAGCCCCAAAGAUUAGACUUGCAACAAAGAAAAAGGGUAUCAAAGAGAGAGAAAAAGGGAGGAGUUAGAUUCGGGUCAAGGGGUCGGAGGUACUCCGGCAACUUGCUUGCCAAUCCUAACAGUCAGGAAGGAGGUAUCGGUGAGGAGGAGCACAUAUCAGAAAAUCAGGCCGAUCUAACGGCCGAUGACGGAGAUUCGGUCUUGGGUAGUCCAUAAGUUGGGGGUUUUUUGAGAUGUUUUCGAAAGCUCUAAAUCGAGACAUGGGUAGAGGAGGAAGAGAUCAUUUUGAUGGCCUCUGAUUGGAGCUCAUAUGGCGGGUUCGACGGCGGCAGCUACAAUUGUAAAGGGCAGACAAGAGAAAAGAAAGGUGGGAGAGUCAUGAGAGUAGUGAGAAGCAAUAGAAAGACUUAGAGAAAAAAAAAGGGAAAUAGAGUAAUUUUUUUUUUUAAAAUGUUACAAAACAUGGGUAAAUUAUGUGGUGAUGACGUGGCUAAUAUAUAAACUUUUAGUGGUCUAAUUUGUGUCACAUAUAAGAUCACUAACUUCAAAUAAGGACAGAGUAAUUAAAAAGUUAGUAAUCAAAUAAGAUGGGGAUGUAAAUCUCAGAGCUAUGAGAGGAUACGAAUAGGUGUAAACCUGAUUAGUCGGAAGGGUGAACAAUUGGUCCUUAGCUUCCCAAUACUUGGAUCUUUUGGACUUGGACCUUUCUCUCCGUUGAGGUGGCAACUAUUGAAAAUUCUGAUAAUAAGCACCGUAAACAGAUCAUAGACUUCCAAGUGUAUUGUUCAUUACAUUUUGGAGAAAAGCUGUCUGACUGCAGUUCUGGUCGAUACCCAUUUAGGUCCAACUCUUGACUUCAUUGGAACCAAAACACUGGCACCUACAAUCCCCAACUCCAACACACCAAGUGCUGGUGGCCACAGCCCGUUAAAUGUCGCUCAGUAAUCGCUGCUGCAAUCAAAGGAUCCAUCGAAUACAUGAAUAGCCACCAUCCAAAGAUAUUCUCACGUUAAGCUUACUAGCAAACUUUAGCUCCUGCACCACAUCUCCACCUCCCUCUAGAUUGUACCAUUUUGCACCAACUGGUUCAGGCAGUCACCUUAUGUAGACCUCGGAUAGAUGAAUCAUGCACCUUCCGAGGCUAAUGGCUAAUUUCCUCAUUAUUUUUAUCUACCACGGUCAGAACCAAAAGAUCAUAGAAGGGCUCUGCUGCAACAAACAUCAAAUCUUCGUUCCAUCUAGGAUUGAAUGACUUGUCUGCCGAAACUCUAGUCCUCAACUUCACAUUCCCAAGAGUUCCCUUGACAUAAACCUCCGAAUUCCGAUUCUUGUCUCAAGGCACUACCAAAUCCUGCGCUUCAAUUAUAUUGACUCUAAGAUACCAAAGUCUAGGUGAAAGGUAGACCUUGGAACAAGUAUUCAUAAUGCUGUCACCAGUCCAGUAACAGUGACUACAUAUGAAUGCCAUGCAUCAAUGAACACUUCAUCAGCUUGUGUCCCGAACCAAAUAACCAACAUCAACUCACUUACUGAUAAAUUGGCCUUGUCCAUGUCUUUGUCCUCCAAUUUAUACCACUCUGGGGCAAGUGGACUAUCCAGCGGAACUUGAGUGCGAAUGUCGGACACGUUAAUCGCAAUCUUACCUAUAAACUCAUUGUUUACAAAUUCCUUUCUUUUCUCUCACUGGGAUCUCCACAGGUAACGACUGAAUUCGAUCUUUUGUGAAGGCAAACACUUGGUUCCAUUCUGGGUUUGGUUUAUUCAUCUCCGAGUACUAGGUGCUCCCCUUAUAGUUUCCAAUCUUCAUUUAAACGGGUGACAAGCAUCACCACCGGCGUUGUUCUUCCCCCACCAAUAUUUGGCUUGGUCUCCUUCAAGGAAAAGCCUUCCUUCUCUUCUGCCGGCAUCCUGCAGUUAUUACCAUGUGCUGUAGUAUUGCGCCAUAAGCGUUUCGAAUAAGCACGCAUAUAUAUAUAUUAUAAUUUGCAGUAUUCAUUAAUGUUUUGAAUCGUUACUUAUAUAAAUUGAGCAGCUUUUUAUAACGUAAGAAUCGAAAGAAAAAAUAAUCUAUAAUUUUGGCGCUGAAAGAACUGCUUUAAAACUAUGUAACCCUAAAGCCUAUAGAAUAUAAAAAACAACCAAAAGAUCAUAUGACUAAAAAUAAUAAUUGUAUACUAAUAUUGUAAAAGAACAAGAGCUCAAGAACACAAAGGAAAUUGAUUUAAGUGACAAAAAAUAGAAAAGAAGCAAAAGUUGAAGGAGGCAAACCACAAAUUAAGCUUAGGGUUUUUCUUUUUCUAACAUAAUCAUAAUGUAAGAUACAAAUAUAUAGCUACAAAGGAGUUAAAUAAAUUUGGAACCUGUUUUUAAAAAAGAAGUUAGUGAAAAAAAAAAAAAAAACUCCGUUUCAUCCUCACUUUAAAAAAUCUCUAACGAUUGAGAUUAAAAAUUGGCAUGGAUGGAUGCAGCAAAUCAAGCAAAAAUAUCCUCAGUAAGCAAUGAUUGUUCAAAAUCACCAGAAUUUGUAGAGGGCACUUGAAGCUGUUCAUAGUUGAGCUGUCUUGAAGCUUCAUACACAGCAAUACCAACACUCACAGAGAGAUUCAGACAUCUAACAUACGUCUCAACCAUUGGAAUCCGAAUGGUUCCACCACCAAAAGUUUCACUUUUGCAAUCUAACAACACAUCAGGAGGCAGGCCACAAGUUUCUGAGCCAAAUAUCAAAUAAUCACCUUUUCUAUACGAAAAGUCCUGCAACACACAAUGUCAAGUUAUAAUUAAAACUAACCCUUAGGAUGCAAAAUUAACUUUAUCAUAGUCAUUGGUCGCCUAAGAGCAUAAUUUAACCGGAGCAGUCCAUCUACUAUAAACAUGAGCAAUUCAGUUUUAAAGUAAAUGGGUAAAAUUUCAAAUGAAAAUAACCUUAAAUAGUUAAAAAUGCUUAUUUUCAUGUUUUCAAAAACCCAAAAUUCUAACAUUUUUUAAAACAUGAUAACUACUAAAUUGCUUAAUUCUUUUCAUGUCACUUAAAACACAAUAAAUCAGCAAUUUUAAUGUUCAAAGUUAAAAUUGCUUACGAUUUUCCUAUUUGCUUUAAAUUUAAAUGUACAAGAACUAGGUUCCUCACUUUCAUAGUAGAGUGACUGAUUUUGCUCCUAAGCCUAUAGUGCAGAGACCAGCUAGUUAGUUAAGUUUAACCUAAAUUUUCCGACUCUCCUUUUAUCUCGUCAAAAAGGUAAAGAAACAAAUUCAGUGUCAUAUUUUCACAUUCAUUCUCUUGCAGUUGCAGUGAAUUCAGUGAUUUUCUAGUUACAGAAAAUUGUCAUUUGGUAAUGAUAAUCAAAGUUAGAACAGUUUAUUCCAAGUCAUGAAAGAUUGGAACACUCGUUGCAACCAAGAACAGACUAGCCCUUGUUUGAAUUCAUUGACAACCAAUGCCUCUGCAUGGUUCCAAAGAAUUAUAAUAAGCACCAAUAUAGUACUUAGAUGGCUAUCGUCCAACAUAGGAUAAAUGCAUAGAUAGAUCAACUUUAGCACUUUGCUUGACCUCUUUACAAGAUAUUUAAAUGAGGGCCAUAAAAGAUUUAGAGACUCUAGGCUGAAUGUUUAUCAGGAAACUUAAUAGUAUGUUAAAGAUUGCAACCUAAGUGCUAGCAAUUAACAGUAACAUAAAACAUAAGGUGGAAAAGAGCAUCAAGUGAUGAUAGCAAGACAAAGAAAAAAAAGAAGAAGAUAAUUCUAGCAUUCCAAAUGGUCAUAUCAUAGAGUAUAAAAAGAAAGAAAGCAUACUGAAUGAAUUGCUGUUCCUCUUUUAGUAAAAGCCAGCAAACGCUUAUCCCCUUCCUGUAUCAUAGGAACAAAUAUAUUUGGAGGAAAUUAAUGACAAAAGAUACGGAACAUUUCUAAUCCAUUGUUGGGACAGGAAGAGAAAAAACCUGUUGCUUGAAAUAGUUUUGAAACUCCGCCCAUGAGCCAUGUAUUCUAACAACAACAUAUCUGACAUCAAGUUAUUGGUCAAAACAGGAGAGUAGGAGAUAUUUCAGAGUUGUAAGGAAAAUGAAGUGGAUCAAAUGCGAUUUGGGUCAAUCUUUGUAAACUAUGCUAAAUGGGAAGCCUUUGAGGCUAUAAUUUAUAUAUGAAAACUUGUUUGCGAGGAUAGAAAAAUAUAUGCCAAACUGUACUAUGAACUGAUGAACAAUUAGGAAGUGCCCAAUUUGAAUAGAAUCUUAAAUUGAAAAUAGAGAGAAAGGGUGUCCAUGCAUUUCAUUCAGCAGGAAAAAAGGUAUCUAAAGAACACAAAUAUGGGAGGAUACGGCCAGUAAUCCAGUCCAGCACGUUUUAAUUUAGUAUCAUCCACUUUAAAUCCUAAUGGCUGAAAAAAUACAACAGCAGAAGCAUCUUAAAUAAAAGGUCAAGGUUGGCAAAAAUAAGUAAAGUAAAACAAAAAAGAGAGAAGAGAAGAGAAGAGAAAAAGAUACCCCAACAAGGUGAAGGGCAACAGCUGAGGCAGCGCAUGUUCUUGCAAUGCAACCUGCAUUUCCAGGAAUCUGAAGGGAUGGGCAAGGGCAGAAAAGGGAAAACAAUUAAGUAGAGGUGCUUGUAUAUGAGCUAAAACACGUUAAAGAUGAAAAAUACAGUAGAUACCUGAGGAGAAACUAAGACGACUUGAAGCAAUUUUUGUUGGGGGUCAGGGGCAGGCAGAGAGUUGUUCCCAUUUCCUGUUUCAACUUCAGCAACAACCCAGCCCACAAAGAAAGAAGAUUAAGAAAGGCAGUGAACUUAAUUAAUUAAGAAACUUAAUUAAUUAAGACCAAAAAACAAGCAUAUAUACAUAUAUCAGUGGAGAGAGAAAAGGGUCUUACUCUUAGUCUUAGUGUGAGUGUCAGCCCUGGUAUUAGAGAAAGAAGAGAGGCGUGGUAUGCGUAGGGAAGAAGGGCGAAAGUUUGGGAACAAAGAAAGAGAAGAAGUAUUGUUAAUAUGUCUUAGGCUUUGAAGAAGAUGGGAUUGGGAAUAAUAUGGGACUGCUCUCAUUCUUGCUCUUACGCUCAAAAGAGAGACAGAUACCAAUGCAGAUAAAAUGCUACACCUAUUGGGUUUGACCUUUCUUUCUCUCUGGGUGGGAUCACUGGAUAACUUCACUAAUACAUAUUACUUACUAAUUACUAUCACUAAGUAAAUAACCCAGUUUUUCUUCUUCUUUUUCUCUUUAACCCUCUUGGCCUUGGCCUGCUACCUUUCCUAAUGUCCUCCUUCCUUUAUAAAACUAAAAAAUAAAAUAAAAUAAAGGGUUUUUCCCUGGUUGGAAAGGAAGGCUGGGUGGCUCAGAUCAAAACGACGAUUCCCUCUGCCUCUUCCACUCAAUCUUAACAAGAUACAGGUCUCCUUUCUUUUCUUUUUUCUUUGCUCAAUCGAGAGAUCGACUUGAACUUGGGCCGCCUCAUCCGCCAGAAGAGUUUAAGCAAAAUACGAGAGAUUCGAAAAAUAGAUUUAAAUGAAAUUUAAGAUCAUUUUUUUAUAUGGGUUAGAUUUUGAGUAAAUAUUUUUCUCCAGACCCAACCCAAUGUUAUAAAAUAAUAUUAUAUUAAUUAUAUAUAUUAAAUAAUAAUUAUAUAUAUUUAUAUUUAUAUUAAAUUAUUAAUUCAAUAAUUAUUGUACAAAAUCUAAGAAAAAUAAUAAUUUAUAUUUAGCUCAAUAAAAUAUUUAUUAUAUUUAUUUUAAUUUUUUAAUAUAAUAAAACAUUUAAUAUAAUUAUUUUUUAAUGUGUUAAAAAAUUAUUUUAAUCUUUAAUUAGAUAAUGAAUUAAUAUUUUUUUUCAUCUAAAUUCUAUUUAUUUUGAGUCAGAUAGUGUUGGUUGAGUCUAUUUUACCAUUGCUCUAGUACUAAUUUAUGUUAUCUAUUUUAAAAUAAAUUGUAUUGAUAUAACUCCUUCAUUAAUUUUUUUAUUCAUUCAUUUUAGAAUACCAAAUGAUUUUCUAUCUUUUAACUAGUGUAUUAUAUUUUUAGAAAAAUUAAAUAUGAAUAAAUCAAGUCGGACUGAAUUUAUUUUUUCUUAAAUCAGAAUAAAUUUAAACAAAAAAAAUAAAUCUAUUUUUUAAGCUAGACCUAGACUUAAAAAAAAUAAUCUAAAUACUUUAUAUAAACCCCACCCCACCCCAACCCAACCCAUCAGCGGCUAGAUCGACUGCGUCCCUUUUAUCCUGGUCCGAUUGGUAACCUGUAAAAGCUUUUCCGUAAAAGAUUUUCAGGCUUUUCUGAUGUUUGGUUGCUUGAAAAUGAUUUUCCAGGGUAAAAUGUUUUACAAAACACAGGAAAAGGAGGGCUUUUUUUUAAGGAAAAUGUCUUACUCUUUUGAAAUUGGUAAGACAUUUUCCGGAAAUUGACACUUCUUCUCCCCUUUCCCCUUCCCCUUCCCCUUCCCCUUUUGAAAUCGGUAAGCCAUUUUCAAUGUUGAAGAAGCCAUUUUCAAUGUUGGCUUAUCUUAGGCCAUGACUGAGACGAUGGCUUGAAACCCGGGUAGAAAUAAGACCAAUCGAAAACCUUGGAAGCAACAAAUCACAAGGGCAUAAGCUGUUGAAUAAGCUGUGGGUCUUGAGGCAGAUGUGGCAUCUUUUGAACCACCGGGGAAUCAGAUGUGGGUCUUGAGGCAGAUGGGGCAUAUUUUAAUACUUCCCACCAUGGUGGGCGUUGCAGAAAUAGUGGACUUUUGUGAUUUUCUAUCCCCUACUCCCGAAGAGCAAGCAGCACGUGAUGCAGCUGUGCAUUCUGUUUUUGAUGUUAUCAAGUACAUAUGGCCUGCCUGCAAGGUAUGAUUGGCGGCCUCUCUUUCUCUCAUGCACAAAAGCACACACAUAUAAAGAUGCAUACAUAGUGUACAAUGCCAAAUGGUAAUGAGUUGUUGCUUUGCAGCCAGAAGUUUUUAAGUUGUUCAUGGUAGGGCUUUAUUUACCAACAAGUGAUAUUGAUGUGAGUAGUUUGCUUCAUUUUAUCCCAUAAGUUUAUGUCUCGCAACUCAAACUAUAUCAAUGUUUAAUCUUGUUAUAUUGUAGCUUGCAUCACAUGGUUGAUGGGUUUUUCAUUAGGAUUAUGAAAUUUAGUAUAUAGAUUUUCUAAUAUGGAAAGGAAAGAAAAACAAUAGGCAGAGGAAAGUUGACCCAAAUUUUUGUAUUUCUCCCCUAUUCUGUAUGACUGACAUUCUUAAGCCAUUUGUUUCCAUUUUAUGUAGGUAAUGAUUCUAGAGUCAGGUAUAAAAAAUCCACAGACUGGUUUGUAUGCUCUUUUCAGGGUAUUAUCUCAAAGGGGAAUUGCAAAAAAGAUACAGGUAUUUUAUUUUUUUGGAAAUUUUACAUAUACAAUAGAGUAUAUUUAGCUAACAAUUCAAUUCCUAUCAGGUGAUUGCAAAAGCUAGCGUGCCAAUAAUUAAGUUUGUAGAAAAGAAAAGCGGUGCCGCAUUUGAUAUAAGGUAGUUCUAUAUUCCUCUUGCCCUCUUGUUCUAGUAUGUUUUAAUCCAAUAUCUCAUCUAAAAUUCUCUUCACCUCUGAACAUUUCUGAAUUUGUUUUAGUUCUGGUAUGAAUAUCAUCAUAAAAGACACUGGAUUAAUAUGAAAUUUUAGCAGUGAGGUUUUUUGGAAGAUAUUAUGGUAGGACUUUUGAAUUGUCUUUAUUGUUUCCUUUGAGGUCCAUGAUAAUUGGGAGGUCCAAGUAAUUGGGAAUUCCAUAAAAAAAUUUAGUAUUUGGAUAUUAGUAGCGAAUGAGGCUAAAUAGUUUACCAAACAUAGAAAUUUUCUUUACUUUUUAUUUCAGGAAGAUGAGAUUGUCGAGAAUUCAUGAACAAGAAAUCUUGGUCAUUUUUUCUCUAAUCACAUAAACAAUUCACUUGAUUGAGAUUCCUAUUUUCUUGAAUUUUCUUGAUUGACAAGAUCUAAUGGGGUGCUUGGAAUUUGAUGAGGGUGGAGGCAUGUUUAGGUUCCUAAACUGACUUAUAGCAGAUGUGAUAAGUGCACCAAAGAAAGUUGUUUAUCUCCAUCUUGGCUUGAUGUGGCAAUUUAAAAGCCAUGUUUCAUAUUUUCUGUAGCACUUUUAUCUCACUGCUUAAUAUUUAAUUGGGUGUUCAAUAUUGCAGCUUUGAUGUGGAUAAUGGACCAAAAGCUGCUGAGUUUAUCAAGGUUUGUUACAAUUACAGACUUUCCUGUGCUCAGAUGUUUCAUUUGUUAGUGGUGCUUAAGAUAUAGUUAUUUUAAUCCCCUUUUUUGUCAGACGAAGUCAAUUAAGUUGGACCAUAGCCUCUUUCUUAUUAGGAUUUCUUUUGAGUCAAAUUUCAUUUUUGGCUGCAAUUAUUCUUGAAGAUUGUGCUCCUGUGUUGAGUUUGAUUGUUUGCUUGCUUUAUCUUCACCAAUGGGAACUACUGCUUAAUUUUCAUUUAUUUCCUAUGUCUACUUCUGGAUUUGUUGAUUAAAAUUGAUGUAAAUCAUUUUGGUUCAAUUAACUCAUGUUCCUCAAAAUUAGGACUUGUGUGGUUUUCCUGUGGUUAAUUAAAGCUCUGCUUCUUUAGUUUAUUUAUUUGUAUGUUCCAUAAACUUUGGACUUUUUUCUAGAUAUUUUCUUUGUUUUUUUCUAAAUUUAAACUUUGCUUAUGUGUUUUCUCUUAGGAAGCAGUACUAAAAUGGCCUCAAUUACGACCAUUGUGUUUGAUCUUGAAAGUAUUUUUACAACAGAGAGACCUGAAUGAGGUUUGAGUUUAUCUAUAUUGAUGAUCUGUUCGUUUUGUUUAAAAAAUAGUGUUCCUCUGUUCUUGAUUUGCAAUAUUUUUGAAACUAUGUAGGUAUAUUCAAGUGGAAUAGGUUCAUAUGCUCUCCUUGCAAUGAUCGUAGCCAUGUUGCAGGUAUGCAUUUUUGGAUUUUCGAUAAGGCAUUGGACUCUAGUUGGCUGAUCUAUCAGCAUAGUCUGUAUUCACUUUCAUGUCGAGAAUUAUAAUUUUUUUUCAACAAUUACAUUGAUUAUGCUAUAAUUCACUUAUGAGUCCACAUAAAUGUUAAAUGAACACAUACGUGCCAUGCUAUUUGCUCUCUCCGAAUGCAAUCAAAUCUUGUGUUUAUGAUAAACAACUAGUGGUUCUUACUGCAGAAAGUUUAGAGCGGUGGUUGAUGCAGCUUUGGAGGCCCAUCUGCACUGUCCGCAGCUAUAUCUUUAUAGCAUAGAUGAUAAGGUCGUUCCGUAUAACACUGUCCCCCUUCCUCUGUUGUCAGAACCCCAACAGAUGUGAUUUGUAGCUCUUCCCUUUAGCAUUGAUGACCAGCUCAAGGCUCGACAUUGCACGUUCUACAUGGUGGCCAUAGGCUAUUUCAGUUACUAGCCAACAGCUAGUUUUAGUUUUAAAGUUAUUUGGUGCUAGCAAUGCUUGCAUUGAGUUACUGAUGACAAACAUUUGAAAUAACAUGCACUAAGACGCAAAGACAUUGAGCAAAAGGGUAUUGUAAAUAUUUCAUUAAAGAGAUUUGAAAGAAGAAUGGAUAGUUCUGUACUUAUGUCAAACUUAUUUAUACAUGCUUUUUUUCUCUUCAUGUAUUUGGCAUUAUGGAUCUAUUUGUCAGAAUUCAUAAAUUAAAGCUAGUCCAAGAUUGUGAAUUUAUGGUUUAUGAAAUUUUCAAAGCUCUAUCUUACAGGACACGCGUUGAAGUACAGUAAUAGUUUUUGGUGCUUUGAUAGCAAAGGUUUAAAUAUUUCACAUUUUGCAUUGUUCUUCUCCUUUUUAUUUUAUAAUGUAUAUUCUAGCUUAAUAAUUGAAUAUUAUUAUAUAUUUAAUUUGAUUUAUUUAUCAUCGUAAUUUAUAUAAAAACAAUUUAAAAUAUAAAUUUAUUAAUAUAUGUAAAAAUAUCUUUUUCGGAAAAUAUUUUCAGGUAAUCUGCCAAAUAACAGAAAAUUAUACAGAUUUAUCCAAACACCAGAAAAGUAAAUUAUUUUCCAGAAAUUAUUUUUCGAAAAACAUUUUACUGGCAUACAAACGGAGCCUUAGUUUCAGUUUAUCUGUAUUAAGAAUGCUUUUAAUUGUUUUAUUUGGGCGUAUCGGAUGCUACCCAUGCUUCAUAUCUCUGCUGUUAAUUUACGAAGAAUUAUGUCCAGCUAAAUGCUAAUGGUUUAUCUGCCCUUUGGGUUUUUGGAUGGAGAAAAGUCAAAUUGAAGUGUUGUUUAUCUGACUGAUCAGACACUGGUUAUCCUCAAGAACUGGGAAUUUAUCGAUGUGCCUCUUUAGUUCUCAAUUCUGCUUUUGCCAAAUGUGUGUAUGUUUUAUUUGAAGGGUGAAACAUUUUGUGUAAAUGUAAUACCAUCUCUUACUCUUAUUAUAAAUUCAGACCUUAAGACCCACCGCUGCAAUAUCUGAAUAGCUCAGAGCUUUUACUUAUCCAGCAAGUGUUGUUGGCUCUUUCCCCAUGGAGAAAGGAGUGCCAUCUAGCCUUUUUGUUAAUUAUGGUUCCUUUAUGGAGAGGUUUAAACAGCUUCAACAACAGAAGGAUGAAAAAGACAAGGCUGCAGCUUUAGAAGAAUCUAAACCCCCCAAAUUUGUAAAAGGGUCUUCAGCUUCCAAACUUGCCAUUGCCCCUAACAAAAUAGCCAUGAAUGUAAGCCCAGUGAUUCACAUAAGAACACCAAAAUUUCUUCCGGAGGCAAACUUGCAUUCAGCUUGAAGCAGAAACCAACGCUCGUGGCACCUCCUCUCAAGUUGGCUGCAGAUGAUGAGGAGGAGGAGGACCAAGCUGCAGGGAAGUUUUCGGAUGACAGACCACUUAAACGGAAAAAGUUGGGUCUAUCAGAUGACUCUGGACAAGGAUAAAAAAAGUGGAUGGUGGUAAUUUCUGCUUUUAUCUAUCUUGUUGUGUUGCUUUUUGUGACUUGGUAGUCCUUUGGGAGUUUACAUGCUUAGGCUGCAUGUCUGAUACGAUGCCAAGUUCGCAACUAGAAUGAGUUCGUGAAUAUUUGAAUUACUAAUCUAUAUUUGUUGUUAUGGGACUAGAUAAUAAUUGCUCUUUUCUCUUCUCAUUAAGAAACGUUUUAUCGGUGUCUGAGUAAAAUAGUUCCCUUAAUUAACUGCUAUGAUUUAUGAAGUCAUCUGGCGGUAAGUCUUCUCUGAACUGAAAGUGGUUGAGGAAAAGAGCAAAAUUUCUUGAAUAUUUCUCAUCUCGUGAAUGCAGCUUAUGCCUUAAGUACCAAACAACAUUGGUGGAAGGAGAAGUUCAACGAAAGAUUUGGAAUAUGUCGCCUGCCUGCUACAAGAGUAAUUUGCAUUCUCUUCUUCAUUCUCUUGGUAUUAAUCAGUUUUAUAAGUGACGUGCAGCACCUCCUUCCCCAACCGAUCCUAUUGUGAAGAAAGUUGCGGACAAACUAGCAAGUUUUGUUGCAAAAAUGGAUGGCAGUUUGAACAUGUUACACGUCAGAAAAACCCUGGAGAGACACCCUUCAAGUAUGUGCACUUUUGCAUCAUUUUUUGGCUCAUUAUGCUCUGUGCCUACGUGUAUGAAUGCAUUCUAUUUGUUCCUUUCUGCUUCCCUUUUUGGUUCCUAUGUUUUGUGUAUUUAAUAUUGUGGUCUCCAGGUUCCUUUUCGACGAGCUGUUCUGAUUACAAAUACUAUGAAUACCCGCUCGCUGAAGAGGAAAAAGCUCUUUUACGGAACAAGGACUCGCAAAGUGGUAUUAUUGUCUUUCUCCUGCCUUGGUCAUAAGAUUAGGUAGCAACACUUUGAGGUUGGCUGCUUGGAGAUCUAAAAGCAUUUUUUUGGGUUCUCUUUGAUGUGAAAAGUUUCUUUUGCCUUGUUUGCCUUGUUUCUUCACUUAUUCUGUUUCUACACCAGAUAAAAUAGAUUGAGGCACGAACAAUUAGGCUAGGAAAUGACUUCACAGAUCUUAACAAAUAUCAGAUUGUUGAAUAUCUAAAAGGGAUAUUUUUCAUCCUUCUGUACUGACUUGAUAAAUGCUUUAUCUAGGUGGUACUGGCAUUUCAGCUUCAAAAUCUACGAGCAUCUCCUGUAGAUCAGUUCUGCAGCAAUCAAGCUAUCCAACGCCUGCCUCUGCUUUGUAUGAGAACAAUGAGGAGCCUAGAUCUUCUUUGACAUCAGUAGGAAAAUCAAGUAAAUAAUGCAUGAGAUACUGCUGUUAGGUUCUUUAAGUGCUGCAUCAUCACCUUAAUUGGGGAAUGGACAAUUUUGUUUGCCUGAUAUUAUAUAUACAUUCAUUUCUAAGUUGCAGGUCCAUCCAGUGCACCACCAGCCGCUGAUCCUAUAACAAUGAUGGAGUUUUACAUGAAGAAGGCUGCUGAGGAAGAGAAGAUGAGACUGCCUAAGCAGCCUAAAGAUGAGAUGCUGCCACCUCCUCCUCUUCAAGGUGAAUUUUAUCCCUGAUUGAAGUGUAUUCUUUAUUUUGCUCCUUAGACACAUUGCUUUUAUUUUGCUGGCUUAGCAGAUGCUCCUAUUAAGAAAGGUCAUCACAUGGGUGAUUAUAUCCCACCCAAAAAGCUUGAAAAGUUCUUGGCUGCCUGCAAUGAUGCUGCCGCACGAAAGACUGCUAGGGAAACUGCAGAGAAGGCAAAGAUUUAAGCUGAUAAUGUUGGGCAUAAACUCUCAUCAAAAUAGGUUAGAAAGAAGGUGCUUUUUUUUAUCUUUACUCUCUCUUGUAUGCUUGGUCAGCCUGUGUUAACCCACAGUUUUGAAUUCUGUUUUAAAUACUGGUUUAAAUAAUGGAUUAUGGUAAUUGAGUUAUGAAAAUUUGCCAAAGAUGAAUGAUGUAAAUGUUUGUGGAAACUAUUAUUAGCUUAGCAGAGGUGACCUUGACCCUAUGCUCUUUCUGCAAAUCUGAAAUGAUUUAGUCCUUGGACUACUGCUGCCAACAAAAGAGAUACCUUUUGUUAUGAGGUGCAUUCAUUUUUCCCUUUGUGCAUGGUUUUCAGGGGAGGGAUUAGGGAGCUCUAAAAAUGGUAUUUCAGAUCCAAUAAUGGCUGGUGAUGUAAAGAUGUGCUCAUCAUCCAGGAGAGGUGACUCCAGAUGAUGAUAAAUACGAGCAGUAUAAGAAGCGGAUGAUGCUUGGUUAUCGAUAUAUUAGCAGAUUCUUUUUUCAUUUGAAAAAGUCUGUCUCAAUGGGAAAAACGUCUGUUAAUUUUACGUUGGAAUUUUUUUCUCAAUACUAAUUCCAUCAAAUGAUAUAAAUUGUUGAAUGUUUGGAACAGACAACAGUAUAUUAAAUUAAUUAAGGAAUUGAGACAGAAUAUGUGCCUAAACCAACAUGCGAGUUCUGGCCAUUGGGCUGCGCCACAAUUUAGCUAAAAACAACAGAAUUAUAGGAACACGCUUUUUCUGUGGCUAAACAGUGGCAUAGAUGUACUAAUAAUUAUUAUCCUUUGAUUUUUUUUUUCUUACGGAGUUAAGUCAUAAUUAAUUAAUAUAAGGUUAAAAUGUGCCACAUACUUUUUCGAAAAUUAGAAUUUUUUUUAAGUUUAGAUCUAAUUAUUAAUACUGUUAAUUUUUUUUAAAUUCAAGUUAAGUGAGAUUUCACAACAACAAAAUUUUAAAAAAAUUAACAAUGUUAAUAGUUGAAUUUGAGUUUUGAAUUUUGAAAAAAUAGAGAAAUUAAAUUUUAAAAAAAAUAGAAAUAUAGGGAUUAAAUUCUUAAUUUUCGAAAAGUACAAGAAUUUAUGACAUAUUUUAACCUUAUAAUUACUAAAAAAUAAAUAACCAAAUUAUUAAAAAUAAAAAUGCGAUUACAAUAAAUAUACGAUAAAUAUAGUUUACCUUUUAAGUUAUAUCAUAGGUAAUCCAUACAUAAUUAUCUACUAAUUUAUUUAAACAAAUUAUUAUUUAAAAUGUAAUUACCUUUGUAUUAUUUUAUGGUUCACCCAAAGGUCCCAAACUAUUACCCAAAUUUUAAAUUGGUCUAUAAAUUUCAAAACAAAAUGCUUAUAGUAUUAGUAUUUUAUCAAUUAAGUUCUUUCAUUAGAUUAUUUUUCAAUUCAAGCAUUAAAUGUUAGUUUGAAUUUGGCAUGAAGUAUAACAUGCAAAUCAAAUUAUAAACAUGUAUAUACCAACCCCAUAGACAAUUUAAAUUUAAUGUGUUAAAAAAAAGAGAAAAUAAUAAAAAAAGUUGAUAUUACACCAUCAAAUUUAAGCUCUCUAUGUCAUAAAUUUAAAGCAGGCAAUCAAUGUCGGAUGGAAGAGGAUUCAAUUAGAAUGUUAUAUAAGUUUGGGGACCAAAAGUCAAAAUUAGAGGAUGUAUAAUAAAAUUAACCCUUAGUUUAUUGUUGUUGGCAGAUAGUGAGAAUCCGUCGAGUAUUAUUAUUUUUUUCCUUCGACCCGGUCGCUACAAUGUCGAUUGUCCAAAGCUCUUGUGUUUUGCCUUGACUUUCCAAGAAAGUGGAAACCCCAAACUCUUUUUUGUCUCUGCUGUUUGUUGGUAAUAAGAGUCGUCCGUGAAGACUUGUUGUUGGAAGUUAGGGACAGGGUCAGUUCGCAAAUCCAGGUGUGGGUAGAUCGAGAAACUCUUUUUUGAGCUUUGCUGCCAACUGAAAUAGAAGAAAUGUCUAGUUUGCAAAGGGGUUUCGAUCAAAAGAUAGAUUACGUGUUCAAAGUGGUGCUAAUAGGAGACUCUGCUGUGGGGAAAUCGCAGCUCUUAUCCCGCUUCACAAGAAACGAAUUCAAUAUCGAUUCCAAGGCCACCAUCGGCGUCGAAUUCCAAACUAAAACUUUGCUUAUCGAUCAUAAAUCCGUCAAGGCUCAGAUUUGGGAUACUGCUGGUCAAGAAAGGUAUAUAAACUUUAUACAUACAAACCCUUUUCCUAUUACUCAUUUUUACUGCUAUUUGUUUAUGGGAAUUGGGACGAUGCCCUUUAUCAACCAUUAAACAUAUCUAUGUUGCUAAAAAGCUUGAGACUUUGGAUUAGAGGAUUGGUUUCUCUUUGAUUUCUGACUGUAUUUGGUCAGUCAUAAUUGAGCUUGAUAAUAGGUGAAACUAUGUAUAUAUAUAUAUGUACGGUAUGUAUGAUAUGUUGAUAAUGGUGGUUGAUGGAACACAGGUACCGGGCGGUAACGAGUGCAUACUACAGAGGAGCAGUGGGGGCAAUGCUGGUGUAUGACAUAACUAAGCGUCAGUCAUUUGAUCAUGUUGCCAAGUGGUUAGAGGAAUUGCGUGGACAUGCUGAUAAAAACAUUGUGAUUAUGCUUGUGGGCAACAAGUCUGACCUUGCCUCCCUUAGAGCUGUUCCCAUAGAGGAUGCUAAGGAAUUCGCCCAAAGGGAAAGCCUCUUCUUCAUGGAGACUUCAGCCCUUGAGGCCACUAAUGUCGAAUCGGCUUUCCUUACUGUUGUAACAGAGAUUUACCGAGUCAUCAGCAAGAAAAACCUGGUAGCCAAUGAUGAACAAGAAGAAUCCGGGGGUAAUGCAUCACUUCUCAAGGGAACUACCAUUGUUGUCCCUGGUCCCCAACCACAAUCUGGUUCUGGAGGAAAGAGUUUCAGUUGCUGUGCGUCAUCAUCAUAGCCAUAGGGGGAACUGAAUGAUACUGCUGAACCCUUCUCUAUGUGUUGUCUCUUCUUUCUAGCAGGUCUUUUUAAUCAUACUUUUAUAAAAUCACCCCUUCCUUGUGUGCCUGAUCAUGUGUAGAGUUUGUAUUGCAACACCCUUUCCCCUAGUUGAUUGAUAUAUAUAUAUACACACACUCACAUAGAGAGAGAGAGAGAGAGAGUUGUUUAGGUUUGUCUUCAAAAAUUAAAAAGAUGUAAUGUAUUGACAUUAAGAUUUGUCUUGUACUCUCUAUCUGACUCGAAAUCUUGUGUGGUUCUGAUUGGUUGGUUUAGCUGUCAUUGUUGCCAAACGGCUAAUUUAUUACAAUUAUACAAAGCAUUCUUAUUUCCGAUGUUCUGGUGUAAUGGAAAUAAUUGAAGUCUAUUAUCUAGUCUAGUCCAAGUCUAAGAUUUUGUUAAUGGUUUACGGCAGAGGGUUGAGGAGACAUUUCAAGUUUUCUGCUUCAAUAAAUUAACUGCCAUUGGUGAAUGGUGAUAAUUCCAUCCAUUCCGUCCAAGUCCAACUAUACCCAAAAAAAAGUUUCUUUUUUGUCUGAGGCUUUCCGGUAUAGAUAGCCACAUUAGAUUCCGACUAAAUUUAGAGUUGAACCUCUAAAGAAAGCAAAGUUCUUCUAUCAUUGUUUUUCCAUCCACAAGACUCGAAUACGAGAUAAACAGCAAAGUUUAUGAAUACAACAAGAAUAGCACUCUCCAAUAUAAGCAAAAGGGUUCCUAGGUUGUUAGUUGAUGGUUUAAAUUCAUCAAUAUAAAGUAUAGUAUCAUAGUUUGACAGAGAAAGAACACACAUGCAUAUUUAAAAGAAAAAUAGUGGCAAUGAACUGUCUAUUAUAAAAGGAAAUAUGCUUUAAUAUGCAACUAACUAAGCAAUCUUUUGAUAUAAUAUAUGGAUCUUUUCAUUUUUGUGCAAUCUACAGAUAGUACGAACAGGGAAAUGUUCUGAUGAGGAGCUCUGCACAAUUUUAUUCUUAAAGAAGUCAGACAUGCAUCUACUUCAUUGCAUCACCUGCGCAUGCAUCAGAAAAAAAGAUUUAUUACUUUGUUGAAAUAUGCAAGGAAAAAGAAUAUCAAGUGCUUGUAAAGAGGGUGAGGGGAAUGGAAGAAUACAUGGUUCGAAGUUGGCAGUACAUUUCUGAGGCAGCUGGCGGGCCAUGUUCCGAUCCACACCAGUUAUGGGAGGACCAUUAGCAAGAACACACAGACAAGGUUGCCCCAGAGCUUUGAUGGCAUUGCAGCAAGUCUCACUUGGUGGAAUACGGCUAAAGGGAGCAACUGCUGCUCUGCAGGGUAUUAACUGCACCAGUGCUGACAAGAAUGUGCUGUGACAAGUGGUGCCCUCGCCUUGUUCCACCAUACCUGUAAGGACCAACACAAACACCAUAAAAGGCACAGCCUUGGACUUGGUGUUGGAGUUGGACCCAAAAAGAAGCAGUAGCAGCUUCAUAUUUGAUUUUUUGAGCUUAUCUUUAUCUCCACUCCCUUGGAAUAUUGGAAAUGCUUAGACUUCCCUCUUUCCUCUUACAAGGACUAUAUGUUUCACACUUGCACUUCAACUGCAGGUGUCUAUAUAUCUAUAUAUACAUACAUGAAUAACAGUCAUUCCAUGUCAUGUCAUGUCAUAAGGUACCUCUAUCCUAACCACAUAUCACACAGUUCAUGCCAUCAUCUCGCUUAAACUUCUUGCAGUGAUGAAACUGAAACAGUUAGUAAACCAAACUGUCAGGACCUUUUUCUUGCCUAAACUUGUGAAAAAAAGAGUUCAGUGUCUGAAGCAUGGCUUUCAUGUCAAUCACAGUAGUGAAUUUUGGUUUGCAUGUGCCAGCCACAUGAUAUAAAGUUACUUCGUCUCCUUGAGUUGUUUCUGAAUUCUAGUGCUAUACGUUCUUGAAAAUAAUUCAAUCUAGUGGCAGGGGAGAACCCCCCCGGGGGGGGGGGGGGGCUAAACUAUAAAAUUGCUAUUUAGGUCCUUACAAUUUUUUAAAAUUUAAAAUUAGUAAAGGUAAAAUUUCAUUUUGACCCCCCUAAAAUUAUAAAAAUUUAAUUUAAUCCUGUACAAAUUAUAAAGAUAUAGACUAUAAAAAAUUAAAAUUUCAUCUGCCCUAAAAAAUUGUUCUAACUUCGAUUUCAAAAUAAUUUUAAAAUAUUAUAAUUAUUUAAUUUUUAUUAAUUAUAAAAAAAAAUUUAAUUGCUCCUAUUGUACGGGUUGAUUGUAUGUAUCAAUUAAAUAUAUUUAAUUAUUUCUUAAAUUUUUUCAUAAAUUUUAUAAUAUUUUAUUCGUUAUAAAUUAAAACAUAAUAAUAUAUAAAGUUUAAUUGUAUAAAUAUGAUAAUUUAUAUUACAUUGAAUUUAAAUAAACAAUAUUUGAAAUUAUUUUUACAAUAUAAAUAUUACAAAAAUAGAUGGCAUGAAAUUUUUUUAUAUAUAUACUUUCUAAAUUAAUUUUAAUUAUUAAUUAGUGAAUGUAGAUUGUUAAUUAAUUUUAAAUAUUGUGACCUCUAAAUAAUUUAUUGUAACGUUAUUUAUAUUUUUAAAUAUUUAUUUCAAUUUUAAUAGUGUAUUUAAUUUAUAAAAAUAGUGAUAAACUUUAAAAAAUAUUAAAUAGUUCCAAAAUUUAUAUUGACUUAUUAUGUAAAAUUAUAAAUUAAAUUAUUAAAUAUAAGUAAAUUACAAGAACUUAUUAUAAAGAUAUAACUUAUAAAAUACCAUUAAAAAUUAUAUAAAAGGGCACAAAUAUUUACUUUCUUUCCUUGUUAAACUUGCAUAAUGUGAACACAUAAAAAUCUUAUAAUAUAGAAUAUUUAAAUUUAUUUUUAAAAUAUAAAUAUUAUUGCAACAUAUAUGACUAGAAAUUAGAUAUGGAUUUUAUAUUAAAUAGCAAGUUAUGGUAUACCAUUUAAAAAAAAAUUGUCAUGACCCACAAAUUUAUCAUUUAAAAAUAAAAGAACAAAUAAAUUUUAAUGGAGUCUAAAUACUUAAACAAUCAACAAGUAAAGGGAUAAACAAAGUAUUUUAAGUACAUUAAUUAAAAAUAAACAAAAACAAGUUUCAUAUAGAUAAGUACAAACCGAUUUCCAAAGUGAUAUGUGGAUCUAACCUUUUAAAUUUAUAUUUUUAAGUUAAUAAUUAGUUUAAUUGAUAUAAUUAAACUUAAAUCUAGUUAUUUAAAUUUUCAUGGUAAUAUUUAAAUAUUUUAUUAUUUAAUCGAACUAAUUAUUAACUCAUAAAAAUCUAUACCAAUUUAUAUAAUAAAUUAUUUGGUAAUUAUAAAUGUGUACAAUUAAUUACUAUUAAUAACACAAAUAAAAAUGUUUAAAGGUAUAAAAAAUAAGGAUUAAAAAGAAAUUUUUAAAAGCUUAAAUUACAAUUUAGCUCCCGUAAGAACUAAAUUUUUAGGGAUUAAAUCUUUUAAAAUAGUUAAAUAAAGAUCAAACUUUUUCUAAUAUUCUUAAAUAAGAGAGUUUCAAAUGAUGUAUAUCAUGUUUCAAAUUAUAUUUUUAUUUUUAAGUCAUAUCUAACUCAAUGACAUGCUUUAUUAUUAACACAUCAAUAUUCACCUAAUUUUGUACUACAAACUAGAGUGAAGUGCAUUAAAAAUUCAUUUAUUUAAGCACAUUUGAAAAUGUUUGGCCCUUAUGUAAGCAACCUUAAGGUUUGACUCAAUUUAAGCAUUGACAUAAUGAUUUUUUUGCCCUUCAGUUUUACAAAAAAAGUCACUUUAAUCACCUAUUUCAUUUUUUGCCUCUUUUAGCCAUUGAAUUUAUUGAACUUAUAUUUUUUUGUCAAAUCACUUUAAAAUGGAUGAAAAUUUUGUCAUUUAUUAACAUUAUUGGCGUGACAUACACGUGGAUAACAUGUCAUCAUUUAAUUAAUUUUUAAAAAUUUUAAAAAUAUUUUAUACUGUUUUCAAUAAUUUUAAUGAUUAUUUUUACAGAUAAUUUUUUUUAAUUAACUAAAUGCUGACGUGUCAUCUACCUGACUAUUCAUGUGUAUGCCACAACAAUAAAGUUUAAAAAAAUAAAUUUUUUCAUCCAUUUUGAGGUGAUUUGACAAAAAAAUAUAAAUUUAAGGACUAAAAAAAAGUAAAAAUUAAAUAUAAGACUAAAGUAAUUUUUUUUUAAAUUAAAGGGCCAAAAAAGUCUUUAUAACUUAACCAUUUAGCCCAUUAAUAAUGAUUUGUCAUAAUAGUGUAUAAGGAUGACUUGAAUUGGAUUUAGAAAUUAUCACAUGCUUUUAACUGGUAUUAAAAAAACACAAGAUAAAAUAUUUAUUUGAUUCAGAGAGAGAGAGAGAGAGAUUACAAGUAUCAAAACUAGCUAAGUUUGUCUCGUAAUGGUAAAAGCAUGAAUCGAUAAACAUAUGUAUCAAACUCAAAAAAGAAAAUAAAAACACAAAAAGGCAAGAACAACACUGUAUUCUCUCCAAACUAGAAAAAGUAGAGGGAAAAACCAACCAAAAUCACUUCUGAAAUCUGUGCUUGGAACAUAUAACGAUUUCAACAUGCAUCAAACAAAGGUUACAAAUUUCUCAACUCACUACUUUUACAAACUCCAUCCUCUCUUUCCGACUUCGUAUGAUGAAGAUCAAAUCAGAAACGACAACUCUUCCAACCCCACCCACUUGAGUGACUGAGAUUGCUAGUGUUUUUUGCUCUAAAAAGUAUGGUAUGUACCGUUGAUUUUUCAUUAUCAUGUAUUUUUUUAUUCUGCCAACCACAAAGCUCUAAAUGUAAUUAUUAGCUUACCAUAUUUGUCUUCAUCAGCUUCUUUGAAUAUGUCAACUAACCACUCUUGCCCGGUUUACAGAGCUAUCGAAGUUCCAGGUUAUUCCCAACAGUUCCUACAUGCAUGUUCCAUCGUUUCAUCGACAUCAUUGCAUCAAGGACUAUUAGAGUUAGUUCAACAACAGAAUCAGUUAUAUUGUUGAUGAUUUUGUUACCCUGUUAGCAGCAAUUUAUCAUCUUUUUAGAUGUGUAUAAAUUCAUUCUUAUGUAUUAGAAGUAAUCAAGCUAUUUUUUCAGUUUGUUAAUGAAAAAUCAGAGUAUAUUGCUUCAAGGUUUCUUGUAUUUGUUUGUGAUAUUCUAUUUGUUGGAUAGCCGUUACACCCCUUGACACAGCGGAGAAAAUAUUCCGGCGAUCAUCAAUUAUGAAUCCAUGUACGAGGAAUGAAUUGAGUUGAAACAAGGGUCGGAAAGAUACUUUUUCAAAAUUGAAAGAAUGACGAACAACAUUGUUGAUAGGAUCCCUUUGAACGAUGUCGAUCCCAAGCCGUAACAAUAACGUAUUGGCCUCUACGUAAUCCACCCAGUCAAAGAAUGAACAACAAAAUUCUCUUGAACUUUUCAGAGAAUAUUUUCAAGAACGACUAGUAGACCUUUUGAAUCUGUGUUUUCUUGGUAACCCUAACACACUAAGGGAUUAUUUUCCUUUUUAUUUUCUUUGAUACCACAUAUCAGAAAAAAAAGGAUUAUUCCCUCAUUAUUAGAGAAACAAAUGAAAAGUCAGAAAAGAAAUUAUAUUCUUUCCAAAAGAAUAACAAUUUCCAUAUCUUUUAUAUUUUGACCGAAAUUAAUUAUUAUAACGGUUUAUAUUAAUAAUUUCAAUAAACUAUAUACAAUUAAUAUUUUGUAUGAAUUCAUAUAUUAAUUUUAUCUAUGUUCUCUAUUUGUGUACAACAAGUUUGCACAUAUAAUGUGUUCAAUAUUUAAUUAUCAAAUUAAAUUAAUUCAAUACCAAAUGUAUUUGGAUUAUGUUCGCUUCAACUGUAGGGUGUGACCCUCUAGGUUCUUGUAACGUUUGUAGUAAUACUAAAAUGUUUCUAAUAUUACAAGUAAUGAGUGACAUCUAGCAAUGCAUUAUUUCUAUCCAAGUACAAGAAGUCGUAAUUCGACAUCAUCUUUCUGGGAUAAUCUUUUCAUGUAUAUAUAUGAUUUUAUCUUUAAUAUCUAGAUUGGGCACAAGUCAUUCAAUAGUCACACUUGUAUAGUCUAAUCUCAUAUUUCUUGAUAUUCUAAGUAGACUACAAUAAAAAAAUAAGUUGAUAUCUCAUAUCAACUUAUUCCAGCAUUGUAACCUCUCAAACUCGACCUAGACAUUAUGGUCGAAUCAUAAAGUUCACAUUGGUCACCUACGCGGCAAAGCUACCUUAUCGUUCGUUGAAAACCUUAAGUACCCUCUCUUUUAGGAAAAAUCACAGUUUACCUUUGUUAAUUUGGGAAAACAACUCAUUAAUUAAUUCAACCAAUCUUAAGUCAUGUUAUUAGCAUCAGCGUGGUUUAAAAAUCACAUUGCUCACCGUUACUUUACUCAAAACUUUGUUAUCUUUGGUUAUAGCGGAAAACUCAAUUAUAAUUAUUUAAUCAUUAAGCCAAGUAACAUGCUUUGCCCAAUUUCAAGAUGUGCUUAUAAAUCAAUUUAAAGUAUGUCAAGUAUGCAUGCAUGAAAACCCCAAAACAGAAUAAAAACCCAAACCACAGUCUAAAUAACUUUACAGUCCAAGAACCAAAUAAAUUUAGUUAAAACUCAAGCAAAAUAAUAAUUAAGUCAAAAGCCCGUCGUAUGUUCUGCAUGCCAUAUCCGAUCCUAAUCACGAGCAUUACUUGAGGAGGUUGAAACUAUGGGGUGAGCUAACUAGCUCGGUGUGAGUCUAAACAAUAAGAACAUUCAAAUAUUCAUUCAAAUAUCAUUCACCAUUAAUAACAUUGUAUGUAACACCCCUAACCCAUCUUCAAAUUAAGAUUAAAUCAUAAUAAAUAAUGACCUUUAUAAACAAUUAAUUAACUUAAAUAAUAACAUUAAAACUAAUAUUUAUUCAUGGCAUAAACAUGGAUACAAACCUUAAUUCGAGCUUACAAGGUCAGAAAAAUAGGUUGGGAACAUCCAGGGACUAAUUUGAAACAAAUCAAGAAAUUUUGGAAAAAUUGGGAAACAGAGGCCCCAUGACCGUGUGGGCAUUCAAAGUACGGGACACACAGCCGUGUCCCAGCCUCUAUAUCUGCCCAUGUGGGUAUUCGAAAUAGGGUCAUAUGAUCGUGUCGCAAGCCGUGUGCCAGACCGUGUAACUCUCUAUGAUCGUAUGGUUCAACCUGCACCUAAAAUUUAAAUGAGACAAGGCCAUGUGGGGUGGCUGUGUGCAGUAUAUGGCCAUAUGGAAACCCGUGUCCCAAGCCAUGUUCUCCAUUUUUAACCCUUAAUGCAAGUCAAAACAAGCACUAAUUCUUACACACCAAGACACACCAUACACAGCUUAUUUCACAUCGUUAAAAACACAUUCAAACACACUAGAUGUGUUAAAUCUCACAUUUUAUGUGCCUAGCCAAUAUGCCCUCAAUUGACACCACAAUUCAUACACAAAAUCAAUUCAAGAACAAAGUUACAACUCCACACUUUAUACACAUAACAUUUACAGCAAAAAGACUAUUUCAUUCUCAAACUACAUGACUGACUCCGGACGUACUAACAUCUAGAGUGUAAAUAUUGUAACUAAAAAUAUAAAUUUUAGGUGGUGUUUGCAAGUAUAUAGGUUAUGUUGUAAUAUAGUUACAACGAAGUAGGUAAGUACUCCAAGGGAUUACGAGAAAUAAUUACUGAUCUACUUGAUUCACAAAUUAGUAGUGUUAAUAUGGAAGCAAGAUGAUAAUAAUAUUAAUAAACUAAAUAAAUUGAAUUAAACUUAAAUCUACUCCUAAGUUCAUGUAUCAGCUUCUCCUAUCCCUUGUUUCGACUACGCGAGUUCCUUUAGCCUAAAUCCAAUUGCUUUACCUAAUUACUUAUUGAUAUAGGGUUCUAAUCAAUCAACUAGUCGAUACCCUAGCAGGAUCUUCUAACAUGUCCACUAGAAUAAUGAGUCAAUAAGAAUUACUUAUCUUUCGACCUCACAAUCCAGACCAAUUCGAGGUUAAGGUGUUCACAGAUGGGCUAUACCAAUUUUGGGUUAAUUCCCACCUAAAUGACUUCCUAGAGUUGUCAAGCCUAGGGUUUAAGUUCUCCCUCUCCCAAACAGUUGAUCCGCUAAGAAGUUCUAUCCUUCAAUAAAUUAUUAAGAUUAGAAUAGUUGAAAUAUGUGAUAUAUGUAUAAAACAUAAAUUGAUUCUAAUCUUUACAAAAGUAUUCAAUUAAAAAAUGUUCAAGAAAGAGAUAUAAAGAAUAAAAUAAAGGAAAAGAGAUGCUCAUGGAUUUAUCAAUGAAAGCGUGGCUCCAGAACAAUCUCCACUCGCGAGAGUCUUAUUUUGAAAUAGGAUAUUCCGAUUACAAGAACAUAAAAUACCCUAAGUAGAAACUAAGAAUGAAAUAAAAACCUUAAAUAUAUUUUCUGUCUCCCUAAAAAUUGUGUGUUUAAACUAAUUACAAUGGCCUUUAAAUAGGCUAAACUCGGAAUAUUAAAGUGCCUAAAAUAUUCUUGAAGUCCUUAGAGUUCAACUAGGAUAGAUAUUCCUAAUUUCCCUAAAAAACGUAAUUAAAACGUGCAGGAGUUUUUAGGUUGCAUAGGGGUUUGGUUGCGACACUGGCCUACGUUGUUACAACCAACCACAGGGGGUAUGUCGCAACAUAGGAUGGCUGUGUCACGACAUCAAGGGCAAUUUCGCUCCAGAACUUAUUUUUGGCUUCUGUCUUCGAUGUUGAGACAUCAGUGUCUUAGUGUCGUGACAUAGGCAUCAGUUUUGGCUGGAAUAAGCAUCUUUAUCUCCCUACUUGACCUACAAGAUCAUGUAACCUAAUUUAGAUAUAUAAAAUAUAAUAAAAACUACUAGAAAACAUAAAUUACUACUUUAAGUAUGAAAACCUAAAUAUAUACUAGGAUGCUUUGGUUUAAAUAUUAAACAAUGUAAAGUUAUGUGUAAAAAAGAUGUAAAUAAUAGUGUAAUUCGUGGCAGAUCACUCUCCCACACUUAAUUUGUUGCUUGUCCUCAAGCAACCAAAGCACAUAUAUUGGAACAAAAGAAAAUAAAAAAAAUUAAUACGAAAAUGAAUUAAUUGCUUUCUUUAAACAAGCUAAAAUUAGUGAAGAUGGAUGUAAAUAAGAACCUCACACCUAAACUCCCCCACAUUUAACUUUUUGCUUGUCCUCAAGCAAACCAAGUCUAGACACAUAACAUGCAAUAAGAAUGUGUCCCUUGGAUUUUAUUACUACUAUAAACAUGGUUGUCAAAUAUUAAAUGUAUAACAAUUCUUAUCGUACAUGUAACUUAAUCUUGAAAAUUUUUAAAGUAAAUUAGGAUUAGUUUUACAAAGUUACAUCACUAACAAAUUAGAAAUAAUUUCCAUGACCAAAUGUUUAACAAUAUUACCAUUAACAUAAAUCAAGCAAAUAUGUAGCAAACACAAUCAUGUGAAUCAAAAACAUUCAUUAAAUAAAAUUAUUAGCAAUUCCGGAAGAUUAUGCAUAGAGAAUGCUUAAGCCAUAUUGGUCUUUUAGGCUUAUAACGUUCUGAGACUUAGGACGGUAUGAGUUCAAAGAAAAAUAUGGCUCAAAAUGGUUCAAACACUAGAAAUAAUUAGGCACAGGACACUGUUUCAUCUCUUCCCCCUUAAUGUGCCAUCCAAGCUCGCCGCCUUUUAUCUCCCUCUCUCACCUACCUUAUCUCUCCAUGUAGGAAGAUACAAUAUAAUACUAGCAACUAUUGUCUACUUAACGAGUUUUGGUACACUGAUUACUAUGUUUUCUCACUUUUGUGACUUUUUAUUUUGUCACUUGACUUUUUACUCUUUUCUCAGUCAAAGUGCUUUUGUUCGAUACUUUUUCCACUCAUUUUUACUUUCGACUUUUUCUAGAUUUUUUUUUCUUUUUCGCAUAUUUUUGCUCGACCCAUAAUUAUUGUAUCACAUUGUUUCUUCUCUUCUUUUUUUUUUUUUGAAAUCACCGUAAUGUAUCUACCUAAACCCUCAAUAUGUAUGGCCUUUCAUAAUGUAUUGAAGGACCAAAGAUAGGCAAAAGUUCAAGUUUUAUGUGUGGCCAUUAGGUUCAAUUUUAUUGGUUCAUCAAAAAAGAGUUAUCAUGAUGAAAUAAGAAGACUAGAUAUUCAUAGCAUUAAAGUAUGGUCAUUUGAGAACAUGCUAUUUAAAUAAUGCCUUAGGUCAUCCCUAAGCAUCCCACCAUACACAAUUUCUUUCAUGCUUUGAAUUAAAUCGAAUGACUAAUAAUCAAUUCAAGCAUUCAUAUCUUUUAUGCAAUUUAACUAAGUAACCUAAUCAAUUCCUCUUUAAAACAAUCAAAUUAUCUCAUAUCAAUAAAAAAUUUCAUGCUUGACAAAAAUCAUUACAUGCUUCAUUAUUGUUUCAUUAUUUUCAACAUUUAUUCACAGAGUUAAUAUAAUCCAAGCACCAUGCAACAAAACAAUAAUUUUUUUAAAUAAAUAAUCAACUAAAGUAAAGUAAACACAAAAACAAAAACACACAGACUAAUCAUAUGCAAUUUCCCGCACACUUUAGAACAUGUAUUGCCCUUAACGAAAAAUAGUUAAAGUGCAAACAAGAAAACUUCCUUGAGUAGGUUGGAUCCUUGUUGUUAUGAUAAUAUUGGGAUUUGUGUGCUCUAAGCGGACGAAAAGGUAACUAAAAAAUACUACGACAAGCAAUAUGAGAUAUAAUAUAAAGAAAAUAAAAAUAAAAAGAAGAAGUGUCAAUAAUAGAUGACAGAACGUCUAAAAAUAUUUGGAUGAACUCGGGAUUUCAAUGUUUCAAGGUGCAUUCUGUCUAGGAUGUUGCAACAUUAGGGUGCGAUAUUGCGACAUCGAUCCCAGUUUCUAACUUCUUCAAAAAAGAUUCAAUUCUACCACUCCAUGAUAUCUACCUUACUAUGAAAAAAAAUAGAAAUAAAUAAUAUUAAUAAAAAUAAAAUAAAUGAAUAAAAUAAUAAUAACUAACGAAAUUUAAAGUAGGAAAUAGAAGUUCUUUAAAAAUUGGGACGAUCCGUGUCACCACUGUAAAAGAACUUCUAGUUGGUUCUCGACACUUUGAUUCAACGUUUGUUUCUUUGUUGAUAUAUAUGAACCAGCCCAUUCGGUCGAUUCCAAUGAUGUUGCCUUAUUUUCGACCAACGCGACAUCCACAUUACAAGUCAUUUAGUACCGAAUCUGAGUCAACCCCGGAUUAUUUUUCAAGGUAUUAUUACCUCGAGCUUCCUCCCCUCCAUGUCGCGUGAAGUUUUGGUCACUCGAGCUUUAUUGCCCUUGUCGAAUGAAAAUGAGUCGAACUCAUAGAUCUCUUCGGCUGACACCUUCUCCGUUAUGGCCAAAAAGUGUAUUGGCUCUUCUACACUUUCAUUUGGAAUCGGUUUAAGCUCCAUUUUAGUGGUUACUUAUAUUUUUACAUCAGUGGUUGCAUCUACUUUUAUGGUUGUUUCUAUGUCAAUUGGAUUGAAAAUCGCUUCAGCCAUAUUCAAUUCAUCCCUAUGAUCUCCAAUUCCAAACUCUUGUUGACUAUUAUUGUCUAAUUUAGCGUGAUUAACAAUAAAACAAGGGUCAUUUAGAUCAAGGUUGGGAAUAUCGUGCACGACCUCUUCCAUUGGAGGUAAUGCCUCAAAUAUCUCUUGGAGUAUUUUCCUCAUCAGUUUUAUCAUGUCUGACAUGUUUGAUAAUCUUUCGGAAUUGGAUAGCUCAGCAGUUUCACAUGAAGGAAUCUUAUGCAGAUCACAAAGAGAUUCAUCUAAGUGUUUGGAUAUAUAAUUGUCUUUGUUUUAUGACUCAUAAAGAGGUUUGUAUGAGUACUCAUUGUCCUCACACCCCUUGAUCAUCACUCCAUUGGUUCUUCGUGGCUUCGUUUGACCAACCUAUUAUGUAGUCCCAUUCGUCAUCCCAAUAGGUCCUUUCAUCAUUAAACCACCUGUCAUCAAAAUUUUCCAUAAUUAGAUAGUAUAGUCAAUAAGGUGAACAAUAAAUAAGUAAAUAAAAUUUGAAAAAGAAAAUAAUACAAUUAAUGAAAAAAAUUAGUACACUAUCUAGCAUGUUCGUCUUUUGACUAAUGUUAUUCAUAAGUAAUUGAUUCAAUAACAAUUAUCACCGCUACAAUCCUUGGCAACGACGCUAACAACUUAACCACCUCCAGACAUAAUAACAUCCAAAGUGUGAAUACUGCAACUAAAGAUAUAGAUUUGAGGCGGUGUCUGCAAGUAUACGGGUCAUGUUGUAAUAUAGUUACAACGAAGUAGGUAAGUACUCCAAGAAUCGUACCCAAGAGAUUGUAGUUUAAGGAAGAUUGUUAUCAAACCAAUUACAGGAAAUAAUUACUAAUCGACUUGAAUCACGAAUUAGUAGUGUUAAUAUGAAAGCAAGAUGAUAAUAAUAUUAAUAAACUAAAUAAAUUGAAUUAAACCUAAAUCUACUCCUAAGUUCAUGCAUCGGCUUCUCCUAUCCCUUGUUUGACUACGAAAGUUCCUUUAGCCUAAAUCCAAUUGCUUUACCUAAUUAAUUAUUGAUAUAAGGUUUUAAACAAUCAACUAGUUGAUACCCUAGCAGAAUCUUUUGAUACGUCCACUAGAAUAAUGAGUCAACAGGAACUAUUUAUCUUUCGACCUCACAGUCCAAACCAGUUCUGUGUUAAAGUGUUCACGGAUAGACUAUACCAAUUUUAGGUUAAUUCCCACCUAAAUGACUUCCUAGGAUUGUCAAGCCUUGGGCUUAAGUUCUUCUUCUCCUAAAAGCUAAUCUGCUAAGAAACUAUAUCCUUCAAUCAAUUAAUAAGUUUAAAAUAGUUGAAACAUGUGAGAUAUGUAUAAAGCAUAAAUUGAUUCUAAUCUUUACACAAAUAUUCAAUUAAACAAUGUUCAAGAAAGUGAUAUAAAGAAUAGAAUAAAGGAAAAGAGAUGCUUAUGGAUUUAUCGAUGAAAGCGUGGCUCCGGAACAAUCUCCACUUGCAAGAGUCUCACUUUGAAAUAGGAUAUUCUGAUUACAAGUACAUAAAAUACCCUAAGUAGAAACUAAGAAUGAAAUAAAAACCCUAAGUAUAUUUUUGUCUCCCUAAAAAUUGUGUGUUAAACUGAUUAUAAUGGCCUUUAUAUAGGUUAAACUCGGAAUAUUAAAGUGCCUAAAAUAUUCUUGAAGUCCUUAGAGUUCAGCUAGGACAGAUACUCCUAAUUUCCCUAAAAAAACGUAAUUAUAACGUGCUAGAGUUUUUGGGUUGUGUAGGAACUUGGUUGCAACACCGGCUUGUGGUGUUGCUCUGACACUCAAACUUGAUCGGGACAGACCAACCCGAAUUCGAAGCGUUACAUUAGCCACCAAAACAACUCUCCAGCUGACGACCACCCGACAUACACCCCAAACUUAUAACACCUCAUUUAUGACUAAUUAAUUAUCAUUUAUUAAUGUAGAAGCAAUUUGUGAACCAUUUUUAAACUUUUUCUAAUUAUUUAAACCUAAGGGUAUUUUGGUCAUUUUAUCACAUAAGAUUAAAUUGUCUCAAUUUUAUUUUUAAAUAGUUACUGACCUUUUUUUAGUCAAACCCUAAAAUUUUUUAGCUUAAUUCGAGUUCAUUUACCAUGUCUAAUUCAAGUUUUAUUAUUAGAGACUAAAUCGUAACUUUUACAAACUUUUAGUACAUUUUCCAAAUUAAAAAUUAAGAGUGUUUCUACCAAAUACUAACAGUUACAAGUCUAAUCCUAAAAUAUUACCAAGUGUCCCUGUCAUUAAAGGCUUCAAUUAAUCUAAUCAAGUUUUAGUACUAACUUAUAAUAAAUUAAGCAAAUUAGAAUACUAGAUUACAAAAACCAAAAAUUGAACCCCAAAAACCCACACGGCAGUGUCCCCAGCCCGUGUGUCAUUUAAAAACCCGAUUUUACAUAUUUUACUUACCAUUAAACUUGAAAUAGCUACAAUUAAUUACCAUAAAUAUCCACACAUCUCUAAUUUAAUUUAUUUACAACAAAUAUGCAACAAUUAAUCAAAAUUUAACACCUAAUUACACGCUUAGCAAACACCAAAUAAUUCAUACAAGCUACAUACCUUAGCCGCAAGCAACCCACUUCAUAGUAAGCUUCAAUUAAACAUUGCUAGUAUAAAUUACAUGCUUCAUACACCGUGUUAUCAACCACUAUACGAACACUCAUCAACAUACCAUAAAUCAAACAUCAAAUAGACAUAAAAUCAUGUAUUAAAGCAAUUAUAAAUUCACCAAAAUUAAAGUCCAAAAUUUAAUGUCCAAUGUCCAUUACAAGUAAAAUAACACUAGUCCCAAAAGCAUCACAAUGCCCCUAUAUAAUCUCUAAAGUAAAUUUCUUAAGCCACUAUCGAGCCUUAUUCUUGGAUCGCCCUUGCACUCGCUUCUCGACUCCUUAUGCCCGGGAAUUUUCUGCGCGAAAUGUGAGGGUGUGAGCUUAAAAAGCUUAGUGAAUGAUAGUAAAAACAUUACGUAAUUUGCACCCAAUCAUGCAUAAAUCAAAGCAAUUAAGCAUUAAAUUUUAAGUCACAACAUGUUAACAGUUCACUAUAACAUCACAUGCUAUUUCAAGAAUUAAGAAUCAAUUUUUCCAUGGCAUGUAAAAUCUAUCUUUUAAAACACAAACAUUCAAUUAUAUUGGCACAAUCAAUCAAUUAUAUUGGCAUAAUACAUCCAUGGCAAUAAGUAAACAUAUGAUCAUACAUUGGAUAAACGGAUCUUUGAACUGCCGCAAAUCAAAUACAGUCCUCCGAAUUGAGCGGCCCGAAGCCACACGCUCCCUUAUAGUGCUUCAGAUAACCUAAUGAAUGGAGACUCAAGCUCAAGACUCCCUUAUCUACUCCAAACAAAUCAAUCCACCAAAAGCCAUAUGCUUACAAUAUCACAAAUAAUGGUGAGUACUCACAAAUCUUAUGGUAUGCCAACUAUAUCCAAUAGAUUUACCAUGCAAUGUUGCCAAUAUAAUCAUACAUACAAGGCAUAAAAUUUGUUGUUUAAUCACUUAAUUUAGGAUGUGAAAAUGCAAGUAAAAGCAUGUUGCUAAGCAAUUUUAACAUCAAUAAAAUUAAGCAUAGAUAUCAUUUUCCUAAUAUUCAUACAUCAAUAAAAUAUAAUUUUAACAUCAAAUGUUCAAUAAAUCAGCAAUUCAUGCUCCAAAUAUCAAUUUAUUCCAUACAAUUUAAUCAUUCUAAAAGCAUAAUACACAACUUACCAAACCAAUUGUCAUUUUGCUCUUUUAUAAAAUAAAACCUAUUUUUGCAAAGCCAACCAUCCAAUAUGCAAUUAAGUCAUUAAUAACAUCAAUUAAACCUUUCAUGUAACACAUAAUCAAGCCAAUUUACCAAAUUUCUCUUAAUAUCACUCACCUCCACACUUAGCUCUUUAAGCAAAAAAAAAAUGUCCAAACAAGCAAGUUCGGGCUUAUUCUGAUUUGCACGUUCCUCCUCUUGAUGUGGAGCUUUAACAAAGACAAAGUAUGCAUUAAAAACUAACAAUAGCAACAAGAAACACAAAAUUUAAUAAAGUAUACAAAUCUAUAUCAUUGCUCUAAACUACUUUACCGGUGUUGCACAACUAAGCCGAAAUAUGGAAUUCCUCAACUAAACUCCCUUUUUAGCACCUCAAAACACUUCCAAUCUUCAUUCCUAGUCCAAUAACAUGUAUUCUAAGUGUUAAUUUCAUCAUUUAAUCCAUGUUCUUGAUCAAAUUCGAAUUUCAUCAUAUUUUUCGAAAAAAUCAUCCAUGUUCUUGAUCAAAUUCGAAUUUCUCAAAAUUGAUCCAUAAAACAUGUUUGAUCUUUUGGUUUAAGAUUAAAAACCUCUUAUUAGACCUAUUUUGAGCUUAGACAUCCAUUAAUAUUUGGAUUCCAACUCAAAAUUAAAGAUCUAUCGUUGUUGAUCCUCAAGUUCAUGAAAAAAGAAAUUAAAGUUGAAAAUCCAUUAUAAUCAGUUUAAUUAACAAAUAAUGAUUGAAAUCAACUUAAAAACAAGUUUAGAGAUGAUGAUUACCUUCAAUUGAACUCAAAUCAUUGAUUUGGAAGUUUGAAUCAAAAUAAUUGAAGAAAUUCAAAUGACUUUUUGCCCAACUUUGAAAAUUAUUUCAAGAGAUUUUAGAGAGAAUUUUUGGAGAGAAAGGUUUAGAUCUAUUCUCUGAUAUUUGAUUUAUGAAAACAAGUAAAAAAAAUGAGAGAAAAUGCUCCCAAUUCGGGUGAAAAGUGAGGUAGUUGCAGAGUUCUUAAAACAAAUGCUCCCAAUUCGGGUGAAAAGUGAGGUAGUUGCAGAGUUCUUAAAACUGAAAAUGCCCAUCUGAUUUUCAGAUUUAGGGAAUUUGCCAUUUGGCCACUCUCCAUUUUCCCUUGUUUUACAAUUUGCUCAUGUCACUCCAAAAUUCUGAAAAUAUGGUUUAUUUGCUAUAAAACCUCUUACACAUUUCCCUUGUUUUUCAAAUUAGUCCUAUUUAAUUAUGUCCAGUCAACUGCUGCGCCUCAAUGCAUUUCGGGGAGAACCAGCUAGCUCUGGGUUCGAGUGGCAUUUCACCCCUAACCACAACUCAUCCGCUGAUUCUUCAACAUUAGUUGGUUCAGACCUUCACUUAGUUUCACCCAAGCUUCAUCCUAGUCAUGGAUAGAUCACUCAGGUUCGGUUUAAAUCACCCAAUUAAACCCUCAUUUUAAAUUGUUUUUAAAUUCUAAUUUAACCCUAAAUAUUUAUUUUUACCCAAAAAUUAUUUAAAACCAUAAAAUUAAUUUUUUUAAAAAUUUUUAUUUUUUCGAAUAUUAUUUACCGAUUUUUAGAUGAAAUUAAGCUAACUAAUUAAGAAUAUAAAUCGCUAAUUAACCCAAUUAAUUCCCAAUUAUCACUUGAAACCUCGUAAACUUACUCGAAACUACUAGGCCCUUUUUUAGGGCCUUAUAGUUGCAACCAACCACAGGAGGUAUGUUGCAACAUAGAAGGGUUGCGUCGCGACAUCGAGGGCAGUUUCACUUCAGAACUUGUUUUUGGCUUCUGUCUUCAAUGUUGAAUGUGUUGCUGUCGUGACAUAUGCAUCAUUUUUGGCCCGAAUAAGCAUCUUUAGCUCCCAACUUGACCUACAAGAUCAUGUAACCUUAUUUAGAUUUAUAAAAUGCAAUAAAAACCACUAGAAGGCAUAAAUUGCUACUUUAAGUAUGAAAACCGAAAUAUAUACUAAGAUGUCUUGUUUAGCUAUUAAACAAGCUAAAGUUAUGUGUAAAAAGAAUGUAAAUAAUAGUGUAAUUCGUGGUAGAUCACUAUACGACCAUAACUUUCCACUUUAAAAGCAUAACCAAAAUGACCAUAACCAUACAAUUUUAAACAUUUACAAGCCAAACCAAACCAUAUAUACAAGUAGAUACAAAUAAGACCAAAGCACACCAUAUUGACAAGCUAGUAUAAAACACCUAUUACAUGCCAUUUAUAACCUUGUACCAAGGUAACCAAAAACUACCAAAAUGAUGGAAGGAUAGUGUGAUCGUGCUCCGAUAAAAUUCCAACCGGUCGAGCUUUCCAAUGAUCUACAAAACAAAGAAAACAACUAUAUAAGCAACUAAUGCUUAGUAAGCUCGUAUAACAGAAACUUAAACCUACCGAAUAUAUAUACAUGAUUAAAUGAUUCAAGCAUUAUUCAUUUCCAAAUGUAUACAUUUCUUUCCUAUUCACACCACUUCACAGAGUUAGUAAAUGUAUUAAAAAGCAUACCAAAUCAAUUGAACUUGAAACAUGUCAUAAUAAGGAGUUAAAUAUAUGAUUCAUCCAUCAAAAGCUCAAUUUGCUCCCUUCUCAUUUCAAAUACAUAUGUCAACAUUUUUCAUUUCAUGUUUCCACAACAUAACUCAUUUCAUAUACAUAUCCAUUCAAUUAAAACUUUAAUCACCCAUUGAACCAAAUAGAAUAUCAUCGGAUGUUCGAGAAUGCUCACACAAAGUGUGCUUGUACAUGUAACUGUAACCAUAUCUGUAAUGCUCACACAAGCUGUGAAACGAGCCUACUCACACGAACUGUGGGUCAAGAUGUUAAGCUACAUGAUGCUGCUCACACGAGCUGUGGAGAAUCUACAAAAAAUGCAAGACUUUAACCAUCGGUAAGACAUCCAAAACCAGCACUCAAAAUCGUAUGACCCCUAAUGAUAUGUCAUUUGUAUCCUAAGUAUUCACAAUGUCCAAACGAGACAUUUUUCCUUAUCAAUUCUUUAACUUCUUUCCAUAAUAUCAAUUCAUAUAAAUAUAACCAUAAAUCUCACAUUUUUCACAUAUAUUCAACAAUUAAAUAACCAUUACAAUUACAUCCAAAACAACUAGUCAAUAGUUUAUAUUCAAUAUGAGUUGUUCAAGGUAUAAUAUUAAUUAACCCUCUAUUUUGAAAUAAAAAAUAACCAAUUUACCAUUAUACGAACUUACCUCAACUAACACGAUUGUAAGUAAAGUCGAUGACUAAUCCGACACUUUAACUUUUCCUCGAUUCAAGUCCGGUUGAUUUGUUUCUUGAUCUAAAUAGUAAUUUAACUCAAUUAAACAAUUCAAAUAGCUUAAAAUAGCUAAUUCAAACCUAUAACCCAUUUUGACGUGAACUCAUGAAAUUACCCCUAACAUUUUAACUUUUGUGCAAUUUAGAACUUAAACCUGAGACUUGUAACUUAACCACUUUUAACAAAAAAAACCAUACUUGUUAAUUUUUAAUAGGUUCACAAACAACCCAUAACUUUCACCAAUUCACCAAAUAUUCAUUGAAUUUUACUAUUUAAACAAUUUAAUCAAUAAACAUUAAAAUCACUAAAAAUCACUUAACAAAAUGAGAUUAUUCAUAUACCAAGAUUAAUAUUCUAUCAACCAAAUUCAAACACAUUCACAUCAUUCAUGGUAAGUCCUUAAAAUGUUAACAAUUUUAUAAAUUGACCCCCGAGCUAGCUAAAUUAAUUUAAAACGAUCACAAAAACAUAAAAAUCAUUAAACAAAAAGGGGAUAAAAAACAUACCAUGCACCAAAGACAAGCUUGGCCGAAUGUUUCUUCACUUAACAAUGGUGGUUUUGGCAAACAAAAGGAAAAUGAAGAUGAUGAUAGCUAAUUUCUUAUUUGGUUAAGUUAUUUAUUAUUAAAUUACCUUUUUAACCUUAAUAAUUUAAUUAAUAAACAACAAAUCUUUGUCCAUAGAUGUCCACUACACAUUUAUAUAGUUUAAUUACCAUCUAAGUUCAUUACUUUACAUUUCCAUAACCAUUAACCCAUUUAACUAAUAGAAGCCCACUUUUGCAAUCUUUACGAUUUUGUCCUUUUUAAUUAAUUAACUAACUAAACAUUAAAAUUUCUUAACCAAAUUUUAAUACGACCCUAAUAUAACCCUAUAAAAAUUAAAUAAAUAAAAAAAUAUUGACUCGUUCAUCUAAAUUGUGAUAUCAAAAUCACUAUUUUCGACACCAUCAAAAAUGGGUUGUUACAUUGUAACACAAACAUAGCAUAAACAUUACCAUUUGAAAGUGUCAUGGACAUAACAUAAUGCAUAAUGAGUUCCUAGCCCAACCAUCCGCCACACAUCAUGAGUUCCCUAGAACUCGUCUGCCAAACUCCAUACAUUGCAAGCUAAACUCAAUGUGGUUAAACCACUGUUAUACAUAAUGCAGAUAUACUGACAUUCAAAAUAAAUUCGAUAUAAUCUCCGUUCUUCUCAUUACUCCUAGUGCAGUGCACUAACAACAUUUAUGUGGAUUUAAUAUGCCGCUAUUACUCCACGGAACUCCUCUUUCAUCCACAUAAUCCCACCCCAUAUACAUGCGAUAUGUUAUACAAAUUUCCUUCAAAAUCAUGUUUCCAUUACAUUCUCAUUUCAAUAGCAUAUUUUACAUGGUCUUAUAAUAACAUUCACUUCCGCUCGAUAAUAACACUUAUCUUUCAUUCAUUUUCACCACCAAUAUGGUAACAUUCCAAUAUGCCAUAAUUCUAAUGCGUGCUACUCAUACAACCAGCAUGCAUUAUAUCACUCAUGCAAAUAUUCAUACCAAUACUAGACAUUCAAACAUUCAAUCACUCAUGCAACUUUGCAAACAUGCCAUUUAACUAAUACUCGAAACGUACUUGAUUCGGCCACCUUAAAAUCACUUACUUAGCCAUUUAACUAAGUAUGACCAGAAAGCUUAAUCAUUGUUUUAAGUAUUAAAAAUAUUAUUUAACAAUUAAAUAAUAUAGGUUAGAACCCAUACAUUAUUUUCACACAACUGUAGCACUAUUUGCGAAACCUGCUAUUCCUCCUUUAUACUUAAACUAAACCUAAAUUAAAAUACAAUAUUUAUCAAGUCAAAAUGCUGCCAAAUCAUCCUUAAAAUACCCUCUUAAAGGUUUAAUCAAAUCAGCAUUACCAUAAUAAUUUUCAGAUCCAAAUCGACUGGGCUACUUACACUGAUUUGAUGCGAAACAUAUGCACGAACGAGAUCUAUAGUCACUGCUGAUCUGAGACAUUUAAAUCAGCACCUAAACAUAAUUAAUCCCCAAAAUUCAGUAACAAAAACCCCCAUUUAGAAUUUAAAGUAAUCGGCUAAAGUAGAAAUUAUUAACAAAGCGAAAUAGUGUAAGAUCUCGCACAAGUUUGCACUUUGCACUACCCAUUACCCAGAUCUGAGUUGUCGGAUGAAUGUCUUCGUUAAUUACUCAAUUAGGAAUAUCCAAAUAAGAUCCAAAUAGAGGGAAAAAUCCAAAAAACUUACAAUUGUAGGGGCAGCAAUUGAAAAGAAAUGAUAGUUGAUCUGUCAUAAUUCGAUGUAGCAGAUUAAACUAGUUUUCGCACUUUAAGAGCUUGAACAUAAGCAUUUUAGUUAAGUUUUAAUUAUAUUUUCGUAAAUAUAGGUAAGUUCAAUAAAACGUGUAAUUUGAGUCUUCUGUUGAACUUAGGGGCCGAAUGAGGCCUAAGGGUGAGCUAAUACACUUUGGAAGUGUGCAGGAGAACAUUAGAAGGUGCAGUAACUUGAUACUGGUCACUAGGUUGCAACACAAAACAUUAGAUGUCGCAACAUAUGGAGCAGAAUAGAAGAAUUCCAAGAUUGCCUUAAAUGUCAUGACAUAACCUAAGGAUGCCGCGACAUACCCCUAAAGACAGGUGUGAAACUAGGGGGGCUGGCAGGGACCUCCGACCCCCUCUAAAAUAGAAAAUUUUCCAUUUAGGCACUUUGAAAUUUUUAAAAUUUUAAAUUAGUAAAGGUAAAAUUGCUCUUUUCCCCCAUAAAAAUGAUAAAAAUUUGAUUUAAUAUUUUAAAAAUUAUAAAGAUAAAGUCUAUUAAAAUGGUAAAAUUGCAUUUUUACAAUUUUGACCCCUCCUAAAAAAUUUUCUUGGCUUCACCCUUGCUUGAAGAUGCCAUGAAGUUUAACAUACUACCCUCGAUGUCAUGACACAGGACCUGGUGAGUCGCGACAUCACUUCUGUACGGAAUAAUUACAAGCAAGAGGCAUUUUGGUCUGCACAAUCAAAUGUUAAGUACGAUGACAGUAGCUAACUCAGGGUUGAGGAUGACGACCAUCCUAAAGUCUAUAAAUAGGCUAAUUGAACAUAUGUUAUAGACUCCCUUUUGAUAUUGUACAAUUUUCUUUUUAGAUUUAGUAUUUAGUAUUUUUUUUAUUAAGGUAUAGAUUUUAUUUCUGUUCUUGUUGUUUACUUUUUUGGGGAAGUCAAAUUUAGAAAAUACUGUCAAAAUCUGUGACGAUUCUACGCUUAAAAUUUAAUACAAAUCAGGCCUCUUCUAAACUCCAUUCUCUUGAAUUGCUCUUUAUGUUUAUUCUCUUUAUCAAGUUUAUAUUGUUUAUUAGAUCCAUGAGGAACUAAUCCUCCUGUGGGGGAUUAGUGAGUUGAGGUAUGAUUAAUUAAAUUUUUUGUAGGGGUUUCUUAGCGAAUCAGCUGUUCAGUAGAGAAAGAACCUAAAACCCUAGGCCUGAAAACCCUAGGAAGUCAUUAAGGUGGGAAUUAACCUAGAUUUGGUAUGGCCUAUCUGUGAACACUUUAACCUUGAACCGGCCUGGACUGUGAGGUUAAGAGAUAAGUAGUUCUUGUCGACUCAAUAUGUUAAUGGAAUAUCAAAAGAUCCUAUUGGGGUAUUAACUAGUUGAUUGAACAAGAAAACCCGAGACGAUAGUUGGUUAUGAUUACUAAAGCAAGCUAAUCACCUAUGCCCAAAUUUGAUACAUUUACUCUUUUAUUUCUCGUGUUUUAUUUAUUUCUUUACUUUCUUUUAGUAUUAUUUUUUAGUAUAGUUUACCAAAACCUUUCUUUUGAUUCUUCGUACUAUAAUCCAAUUAAAGUACUAAUUAGAUCUAUAUAUGUUUAGAUUAGAAUUAAUUUAGUGCUUGCCUCUCUUGGGUAUGAUCCUCAGAGUACUCACCCAUUCUAUUGUAACUAUAUUACAACUUGACCUGUAUACUUGCGGAUACUGUCUUUUAUAUCUUUUGUGCAGGAUUCUACUCUGAAUGUUUGUACGUCCAGAGGCAGUCAAGUUGUUGGCGUCGUUGCUAAGGAGGCAACGUUACAAUAUUGAUUUUAUUUUUUUCAUAUUAAUAGAAUAACUAAGAAAUUUAUGCAUUACAGAUACAAAAUUUAAAUCCUAAGUUACUAACAUUCCUUUAUUUCUUUUUAGCUUCAAAUUCUAGGAAGUACGGUACAAACUCUAAGGACAUUUUUUGAUACAGGCUGGUCGUGGUCUAGUAUUACUCGUCUCAUUAUUUAUAAUUCACAUUUUGAGCUAAAUCCUUCUUUCCUAGCGUGGAUUUCUAGCAAUGUCACAUUCAAUGAUCCUAAGACGGAUGAUCCUAUAGUCUUUUUACAAUAAUUUGAAUAUAUAUACAACACUAUCGCUUACGUUGGAGUACCACCAGACACUAUCAAAUUAUUACUAAUCCUAUUUGCAUUGGAUGAAAAAGUGAAAUCUUGGUUAGAUGCACUCCCACCCGAUACUAUUACUAGUUGGACUACUUUUGUGUAGUUAUUUCUUCACUAAGUCCUCCCUAUGACUCAGUUAAUUUGAUACUUUGCAAAUAAAGCCUACAUGUGAUGUGAUAUGCCUAAGUGCGUGAUGUGAUUAUAUGUGUUGAGGAUACAUGUCUGAAUGUGCAUUAUGAUUAGCAAGUUUUAUGCACAUACAUCUGAUAUGGAAGUGAAUAUGGCUCAAUGAGCAAGUGCUUGCACUUGAAAGUGCAUGAUAUGAAUUUGUGGAAAGUGAUGUGGUUGUGAUAUAUGUGCAAGUGUGCAUAAACCAGAAAAGUAAAUCUGACAUAUAGAUAUGUUGGCCUUGUGAUCAUUUGAAAAUCAUUGGAUAUAGUUGACAUUUCAUAGUAUUUGAUUACUCAUAUAUAUGUUUUUGUUAUCAGGACAUGUUGGAGGGAUAAUAGAAUGUAGAGCAUUGCUCCAUUCAUUGGGAUAUGUCAGUGUGUUGGAGAGUGUUAUCUUAAUACUACAUUUGCUUGGGACAUGUUAGACUCUAGAAGUCAUUGGUAUGCUAAAGAUCUGUGUAUCUAAUGUGUUGUGUUUUUAUACCUAUUUCAUAAUCAUAAGAUGCUAAUAUAUUAACAUGAAUAAAUGUGUGGUGAUGAGAAGUGUUUAAGUGCUUACCAAUCUUGCCUUUAACCUUGAUAUUAUGGUUUAUUAUAGCUUCUUGAGCACUCACUGAGUUUAUUUAAGCUUACACUCUCUUGUGUUUAAUUUUGCAGAUAUAUAGCUUGUGUGGAAUAGAAAAGUAAGUAAGCUUGUGAACCCAAGGCAAAGCAACUAAAUUAUGUAUGUGAGAUAGUUUUCUUAGACAAUAAAGGAUGGCAAUGUGGGUUCAUUUUGAGGGAUUAGACUUUAGUUGUUUUUUUGGUUUGUAAAUAGACUUUCCACGGACUGUUUAAGGACUUUUAUAUCUAGUUUUUAGAUUUUAAAUUGCAUUGGAUUGAUGCAUGAAUGAUACUUGAUGAAUGGUUAAGAUAUAUGUUGAUUAACAUGUUUUUGCCUUAGUAAAUUAUGGCUAUAGAUGCUUAAAUGACUUGUUGAAUGCUUGGACAGAUGCAAAAUGACAAAUGGUAAGGUAUGGCCUAUAAUGCACUUAAAAUUUCCUUAUAUGCAAAGUUGGUAUGUUGAGUAAAUUGAAUUGGGACUUUAGGAAGCAUGCUAGCAUAGGCAAUUUGAUUGAAUACUAAAGUAUGUUAAAGUAUGUUUGAAUGUAAUUGAGCAUGAUUUGAAUGAUGUAUGUAUGCUAUAUAACAUGUUAGAAUAGGGAAAUUGGCAUGAAAACACGAAUUGGUAUGUGUAAUGGAGUGUCAAAGUGUCAUAUAUAAGUUGCUGCAAUUUUCUACAAAAAUUCUAGUUCUCGUCAUGGCAAGCUUUAAACAACGUUGUGAUGAGUGAUCUUCAUCUAGACGAGGACCCCCAUAUAGGCGACGUCAUGACGUGAAAAAUCUUGUCGUCUCAACGUGGCCAGCAAUGUGUUUGGGCAAGUUUUGUUAAUUUUGCAAUUAAGUCCUGAUUUCUGCGUAAUGCAAUUGUAGGCUUAGAUAUUUUGUAAAAUUUGCAUUUUAAUCUCUAAACUCCGUUUUAAAAUUGAAAGAGUUUUAAUCAUCGUUUUGAACUAAAUGUUUCACAUCUGGUUUGAAAUAAAAUUCCUAAGGCACUUAUUGGGUUAAUUUUAUGAUUUGUAAGUAUUUCACAAUCAUUAUGUAAAAAUGACAUUUUUACCCCUAUAUUUUUUUUUUGUUAUGCUAAAUGAAACAUAUUUUAGGUUUUUGCAUGUUUUUUUAUAUUUUUAAUUAAGCUUGUACUUGCUUGGUGUGACUGGUGGUUUGUGGUGUGCUUUGGUUGUUGGUAAGCAGAGUCACGUAAAUGGCUAAUGUAACAUUCUAGAUUUGGGUCGGACCUUUCCAGUCAAGUUUGGGGCGCCACAACCCCUUCUUCUUUCUCACAGAUGCCAUAAUUUUCCAUGGACAUAUGCUAUCACACAUUGCGCACUUGGCCUUAUAUUUUUCGGCUCAAGAUUUUAUAACAUGGAAGUUUACCCCAUGCUUUAUGUUAUAUUGUUUCACUGUAGCAACAAAAGCAUCUUUGGAGGAAAACUCCAUUCCAACUUGUAAAUCGUCAAAAUUUGUAUAAAAACUCGCAUGACCUGAUCUUCUAUGAGGAAGUUAUGGAAAUUCUAACUCACCUUCAGCAUCAAGGUUGACAUUAAGCAUAUAGGGUGAAGGUGCAAAUGUCGUAAAAUUUGGAUGGGUUCUUUCAACAUUAUUCGAACUUUCACCAUUAGAACCACUCCCUUCUGGUUCAAUAGGACUAACCUUUGGUUCAGAAAAUAAUUCAAUUUUCAAAUCAUCUGGCCCAAACACCCAGAUUGGAUCAUCAUUGGUUUUAGAUCCCUCUUUAUUCUUAGCUCCCUCUUCAGUCUCUUUGUUUUCACCUCCCUCUCCCUCUUUGUUCCCAGCUUUUUCUUCAUUAUCAACCUUAGUUGAAUGUCCAAGGAUGAAUGUCCCUUCACCGGUGUAGGUUGUAGGGAGUACAUCAUCUGUUCUUAUAAACCCUAUGUUAUAAUCAAAACUACUUGCAGAUUGCCAACAAAUAAAACUUAAUGGCAUACUUGUAUAAGUGUUUCCCACAUAGAACAUCGACAUUGGGAAGUUAAAAUUGAAAGCACUCAUAGGAUAUGUGUCGGGGUCUCUAAGUUUAGGUUACUGAUCGUCUAUGGACGUACUAACGUCUAGAGUGUGAAUACUACAACAAAAUAGAGAGUUAUAGGCAGUAUCUACAAGUAUACGGGUCAAGUUUUAAUAUAGAUUUUACAACGAAAUAGGUGAAUACUUCGAGGACUGUACCCAUAGGAAGCGAGUACUAAAUCAAUAUUAAUUUAAACAGUUAAAGAUCUAAUUAAUACUUUAGGUCAGUUAUAGUACGAGAGUAAAAUAAGAAAUAUGUUUAUGGUUUGUAAAAUAAUAAAACGAAAUAACAUAAAAUAAAAAAGAAAUUAAAAAUGCAAGAGAUAAAGAUAAAUAGAGUGAAUCAAAUCUGAGAAUGUGUGAUCAGCUCGCUUCACCAAUCCCAAUUAGUCACUACCCUAGUAGGAUCUUCCAACUAUUCGUUACCCUAGUGGGAUCUUCCAAUAUUAAACCACAAGUAUUUAGGCUUUUGCAUGUUUUCAAUUCUUCCAUCCUUUAGGCUUUUGCAUGUUUUUAUAUUUUUAAUUAAGCUUGUACUUCCAACUAGUCGCUGCCUUUGUGACUGGUGGUUUUUAUGUUCUUAAACAUACUUUAGGUCGUCUCGGGUUCUCGCCAACCAACUAGUUGCUACCCUAGUAGGAUCUUCCAAUCUUCCACAAACAUAAUAAGUCAGCAAGAACUACUUAUCUUUCAACCUCAUAGUCCAGACUGGCUUGGGGUAACGAAUGGGUAAUAUCAAUUUUGGGUUAAUUUCCACCUUGGUGACUUCCCAGGUUGCCAAGCCUAGGGUUUGUUUCACGUUCUUUCUUUUCCAAAUAAUUAAUCUGUUGAGUAACCCUAUAAAACAGUUAAGAGAUCAUUCCUCCACUCGUUAAUCCCCUAUAGAGGGAUUAGUUCCUUAUUACUUUAAUAAAAAACAUGGAAAAAAUGGAAGAAUUGAUUAUGGGGAAUGAAGCUGAAUAGAGAGUUUAAGAAGGCCUGAUUGAAAUUGAAUAAAAUGAAUCCACAGAAGUUGAUCUUGUUUUAUAAUUAGAUCUUUUGAAGAAACAAAUAAAUUGAAUUAUGAAAACCUAAGAGAAACAAGAAAACAAAUCUAAAAACCUAAUAAAAGAAUCUGAACAAAUGGAAUAGUGUCCAUAAUGUGUGCCAAAGAAGCCUAUUUAUAGCCUUCAGAUAGUUAUCAUCCUUAACCCUAGGUUAGUUGAUGUUCCCAAGGUUUAAGUUCGAUUGUGCAGACCAAAACGCCCCUACUUUAUGUUUUAUUCUCGUCACAAAGUUGAUGUCAGACACACUAGGACCUGUGUCAUGACAUAGCAACUAGUAUGCUUCACUGUAACCAUCUUCAGGGGUAUGCCGCGACAUCUUUAGCUUGUGUCACAUUGAAGCUGGUUUCUCACUUUCUAUAUUCUGCUCUCUAUGUUGCGACAUUGGAUCUCCCAUGUGGCGACAUAGCAUCUAGUAUUGGCCCGAAAUGCCUUCUAAUGGUCUUCUACAUACUCACGAAGUACGUUAGCUCUCCCUUAGGCCUCAUUCAGCCCUUAAGGUUAAUAAAAGACUCGAUGUACAUAUUUUAUUGAAUGUAAGUAAAACUAAAGAAACUUAACUAAAACAUAACAAAAAUGUUUGUAUUUAAGCUCAUUAAAUGUGAAAACUAGUUUAAUCUGCUACAUCAAAUUACAGCAGAUCAAACUCUCCUACACUUAAGUCAUUGCUUGUCCGUAAUCAACAUAAAAAAAUGACAAAUAAAAAUGACGACCCUUGAGCAAGUAUGAGACAAGCAUUGAUUUUAGAGCAUAUGACUUAGGCAUUUCAUGCUUAUUAACAAUUUCAACAUGAUGAGUAGUUGACUUACCACUUUGAUUACAAACCAUCUAAGUUCAAUAUGUUACAAAAUAUACAAGUAUUAAGGUUCUCACCUAUAGGAAUCCAUCAACAAAUCAUACAAGUACUUUGAUUAUCCAAGUAGAAUAAAAAUAAUCAUUUACGCAUAUGUCCAGUAUGAUGUUCAUUCAUGUAUGAGGAUACUUAGGUCACAUAGGGUUUUUUGCUUGUAACGUUCUGAGGCUUAGGAUAGGUAUGGAAUACAAAAAUAGUAAACAUCAAAACAUAACAAACAUGAAAAUAGUUUGGCACAUUGUAUUAAUCCCUAUUCUUCCCCCUUAGUGACCUUUACAUGCUCACUGCCUUAUUUCUCCUUAUCUCAUAUUCCUUGUCUUUCCAUGAUUAGGAAUUCAUAACAUGACAUAGUAACUAUGGCUAGCCCUAUGAGUUUUUGUGCCAAAUGAACGAGUUUUUCUUUCUUUUGUGACUUUGUGACUUUUCUAUUUUUCAAUACAUCUUACUCAUGAAUGCUUUUUUGCUAGUUAAAGACUUUUUCUACUCACACUGAUUCCCUUUUUGGGUUUUUCUUUUUGUUUUUCACAUUAAACUAACUUAUAGUUCCUAUAUCACACCAAUCUUUCCUAUUUCACUCUAAUUUUACAAACUUCAUUGUCAUGUAUCUACUUAACCCUCAAUAUAUAUGGCCAGACAUCUAUAAUCGUGCAGUACAUGACCAAAGAAAAAAGGUAUAUACAAAUUAACAUUUUUUGACUUGGGGUUUGUAAUAUGGUUUAUCAAGAAGUGUCAACAAUGCUCAAAAUUGGUACUAAAGGUAAAGUAAAAUAGGAUAGCUUUUUUUACUUUAGAUGUGUUCUAAAAAAUGUCUUAGGUAAUCCCUAAAUAUCUCAUUAUACACAAAUUUAAUCAACCAAACAAACACAAAUUCAACCAUUUAUCAUUCAUACUAUCAUGCUCGUUUUCUUGUAUUUUCUAUAUCACUUGGUACAAAUGAUAGCUUAAUACCUAUUUACCGUGUAACAUAUAGAACUUUAGUAGUCUAAUAAUAAAAAUUUUAAAAUCUUCUAUCGUCAUGUCAACUUAUUCAUAAACAUAAGCAACCUAUGUACAUGCUCCUAACCAAUCACUUGUAUUUCUACAAGCUCACCAAAAGACAAUGAAAAAUGAACAAAAAUUAAGAAUUUAAAAACAGCCUAUAUUACCCCCACACUUUAGCUGACACAUUAUCCUCAAUGUGUAGCCUAUCAAAAGAUAAGGAAUGAAGUUACAUGAUUAAUCGUGGUUGCUCUAACUCCUAUUGGUAGGUGUUUUCUCCUUUGAUUGUGUAAAGCUCGAAUUAUUUGUGUUUUUUUCGUGUUGGGUUCCUACAUAGAAAAGUUAAACAAAAUGCAACAAAACUAAAAAUCUACUUAUUAAUCCUACUACUACAAAGUUCAAAUCAUCCAAAAAUUAAUAUAAGUCUUUGUAAAAUUAAAAUAAUUCAAUCCUCUUCCUCAUCCAUCUCCUCGUUUUCAUCAUUCUCAUCAUCUUCUCCUUCUUAUUCGCUUUCAUAUGCUUCUUUUCCUUGUUCCAUACUCAUCAGUCGAAACAUGUUAGGUGUAUAAUUAGGGACUCGGAUGUUGUUUUGCCUUGUGAAUUCUUGGAAAAUUGGUCCUGAUUCCUGCAUCCACUGAAUCAUCAAAUCUAGUUUUGGAUGACUACUCUUACCAACGUCUUGUUGUGCUCAUGCCAACCUUUGUGACGACGUAGGUAUAGUUGUCAUUUCUUAAUGUCGCUUGUUCUCGUCUUUCAUUUGUUUGACCCUCAGCUUGAUGUAUUGUUGGAACAAGGUAUCGUCGAUAAUACGUCGAGAUGGUUUCAAUGAUUGCUCAAUGGGUGUCAUAGGUACACCCACCUUUUUUCAUAAAGCCAUCACGAGAUAGGGAAAGAAUACUCCCACCUUCUGGCUACUAAUACAUCUUCCCAUGUUAUGGUGAAUCCAUUUGCCAACACAUACCUAUUUUUUCUUUAGAAUAGCGUAGAGUAAAACUACUCUAAAGGCAUUAACAUUAGAAAUAUUUAAAGUAGGUAAAAUUCAUGUGCAAACAAAUUGAAUCCACAUUUUAGCCUCAGGAAACAUAAUAGCUUGAUGAAAAUAUACUAGGAUAUCGGUACCUACGCGAUGCUUCCAUUCAUCCCUUCCUUCAGUUAAAAAUUUUAUAAUAACAUCCAUAUCUAUGUCUCUAAAAUAUUCUAAGUCAGUUUCAUCAACGAAAUCAUUCUCAUAAUAUGGAGCAUUAUAGAAAUUGCAAAUUAUUCGAAAGGUUACUCGUACCUUUUUCCCUCGCACAAGUAUUGUAUCCCAUAUAUAACCUUCAGUAUUUCUAGACUAGUGGUCUCGUAAAGAUGUGUAGAAUUCUUGUACAAUAAGGACCACAAUAUUAUACAUUGGGAUCAUCCAAAAAAAUUCCCAUCGAUGAUACCUUACCAAAGGCCAUAUUUCUUUACACAAUACCAUCGAUGGAUCAAAUCCCCUUUCCUGAAUGAAUGUUUUUCAUUAAAGUUCAUUGAAAUACUUUUCAACAUUCGGAUUUGGAAAAUUAGAGGGAGUUUGAACCAUCGAUGGCUCCAUUUCUAUGGUUCGCCUAACUUUCCUAAGAGGCAUUGUAUUUCAAUUUAAAUAAUGAAUUCAACGAAAUAGUAAAAAAAAAUUAGUUUAGGAACCCAUAACCUUGAAUGUAUAGUUAAGGUUUGUUCAAAUUCCUUGCUUGCUGGUGAUGUCCCCGUUCCUUGUUGCACCAAGUUUGUGCAAGGGAAUUUGAUAAAUCGAGGUUUAGAGUUUAAGGGAUAUUAAUAGAUUUGAAAGAGUUUGUGGAAAUAAAGGUUAAGGGGUGUCUUAAUUAGUAGUAGAUAUUGUUUUGGGUUAUAAAAUAGGGUUUUAAGGGUUAAAAAUCGGGUAAAGUUAGUGUUUAAAUCGUCGGGUUGAGCACCGUAUCAGGUCAAUCUUGCAAAAAAUUAUAGUGAUGUCGCGACAUGGAACCAUCAGCUUAGAGAUUCUCAAGGACUGUCUGUUAUGUCACGACUCUCUGAUGCAAUGUCGCGACAAUGACUCUAGUUCAGUCCAAAAUUCCACCUCAAGGAUGUUUUGGUCUAACACUUGAACAUACAUCAAAUAAAAGUUAGAAUUUAAAUUAUGGGGUUAGUUAAAUAUACAAUAAUUUACAAAAAAUCAUGUAGCAAUUUACAUAUUUUAAGUUAUACUGCUAGAUUUAUCUAGCAAUAUUGUCGAUUCACCCACAAACAAUUUCUUUAUUCUAUCAGUAUUAGUCCACUGACCGUCGUACCACUCAACCUUUGCCCACUUGUCCUAUUGUUUGAACUUAUUUAUUCUUUCUUCAUUCAUAAAAGGAAUCAUUCCCCUUGACUUGGGCACGUUAGACAUAAAUAAUUUUUUGCAAUGCUCCCCUAAUAUCCUCUGCUCUUCCUCAUUCAAUUGAUAACCACAUUUGAAUAUUUCAGCCUCACCAUUAAUUUUCAUAGUUAUAUCAUUUUAUUUCUAAAUCAAUGGUGGGUCUAGAAGUGGCCAAAAAAGGUCUUCCUAGUAAGAUCAGUAUCUCCCGACCUUCCUCAAAAUUAGGUACUACAAAAUCUGUUGGAAUUAUGAAACUUCGCUCCUUGACUAGCAUAUCUUUUGGUACUCCAUUCGGAUGUACCAAAGACUUGUCAGCUAAUUGUAAUGUUAAUUGAGUUAUUUUAAUAUUCCCUAACCUGAGUUUUUCAAAAAAUGUAACACCCCUAACCCGAAUCCGUCACCGGAAUAGAGUUACGGAGCAUUACCGGAGUUACCGAUUCAUUUAUCAGAUAUUUUAUUAAUUCGAUAUCUUUUCUUUUCCACGUUCAAGUCUCGUAUUCAAGUCAUCCGGAUCUUUAUAAAGAAAUUUGAUCGUCGUUUUCAUUUAUUUCAUGUCAUAAUACAUCCAACUAAUGCUCUAAACAAAAUUAUCAUUUUACCCCUAAACUUUUAAUUAAUGACGAUUUCAUCCUUAGGUUAAAAUAAAAUAAAAUUAUUGCAAUUUAAUCCUUAUUUCCAGUCGUUAUUCUCACACAAAUUGAUAACAACCUAUGAAUUCUAUAAAAUGUCAGAAUUUUCCAUAAUUUCAACACUUUUCAAUUUAAUCCUUAAAACAUGUUUUUCCCCGAUCUUGAGCUAAAUUAACAAUUUCAUUCAAUUUUGAAAUUAAAAUAAUAAAAUAAUCCAUUUCAUGCAAAUUGGUCAUUUCUAACAUUUUUUUACAAAAUUGCCCAUAAAAUUUUACUUUUAUUCAAUUUAGUCCAUGAGCCUAAAACAUACAAAUUAGCCAUGCUAGCUGAAUAUUCAUACAUAUUUUCCUCCUCUUCCUCUCCAUUUCACAUCCUUAAUUUAUAUAACAUGCAACAAGUAACAUUAUCAAUAAUUUCACUAUUUACUUAUGUAUAUUCAAAACUAUCCAUUUGCAUCAUAGUCACUAAAUUAUUUAUAUCUUAAGCUACAGAACUCGAAAUUAAGAUCUACUAUUUUUUCUUGAAAAUAGACUUACUUAUCUUCUUACCAUAAAAUUUUCAGAAUUUUUGGUUUAGCCAAUAAGUACAGUUUAUUCUUUAAAGUUGCCCAUGUUCUUCUGUCUGACAGUUCCGACCCUUCUUCACUAAGAAUUAAUUAUCUCAUCGUACGGGAUUCGGAUGAUGUUCCCGCUUAUUUCUAUUGAAAAUAGACUCUUUAAGGAUUUUAAACAUAUAAAUUUAAUCCCUUAAUUAUUUUUCUCCAAUUUUUGAUGAUUUUCCAAAGUUAGAACAGGGGAACCCAAAAUCAUUCUGACAUGGUCUCACAAAACUUAUUAUAUCUCAUGAUUUACAAUUCUAUUGCUUACACCAUUUCUUCUAUAAGAAACUAGACUCAAUAAGCUUUAAUUUCAUAUUUUAUUCAUCCUCUAAUUAGAUUUCUACAAUUUUUGGAGAUUUUUCAAAUUUAGAUUAUUGCUGCUGUCCAAAAUUGUUUUAGUGCAAAAUGUUGAUUUUCAUUUUGCCCCAAAUUUCACAGUUUAUACAAUUCAGUCCUUACUUAAUUAACCCCUCAAUUAAACUAAUUUUCUCAACUAAUACUUUUCCUAGAUAUUAUAAGUUAUUUCAUAACUAUUGAAAUUCAGAAUUUCCACAUAAAACUCUAACUUCAAACUCUUUUACAAUUUAGGUCCCAAACAUUCACUUUCUAUUCAAUUCUUUCAAUAAAAUCAGCAUAUAAACAAUUUAAAGCUCUAAUUCUAUGUAAAAUCAUCAUAUACUUCCAGCACAUAUUCAUAGAAACUUUCAAUUUCUUUCAUAGAAUCAAGAACUAAUGAAUUCAACAAAUGGACCUAGUUGUAAAAGUCACAAAAACACAAAAAUUUCAAGAAAUAAUCAAGAUUUGAACUUACUUGCAGUAAAAAUAUGAAAAACCAGCUUAAGGGAACUCUUCCAUGGUAUUUUUGCUGAUGAUAAUGUAGAAAAAUAAAGAGAAAUCUAGAUAAUUCCACUUUAGUCCUAGCUUUAUUAAGUAAAUUUUGCAAUUUUCCAAUUUUACCCUUAAUUCCCCUUAUUUUCUUGGUGAUUUCAUGCUCUUGCCGUCCAGCCUAAAUAGACCUUGGGUCUAUUUUCCUUUUAAACCCUCUUUCUUUUAUCAUUUAAGCUAUUUAAUCAUUUCCCAUAAUUUUGCAUUUGAUACAAUUUAGUCCUUUUUGUUCAAUUAGCUAUCAGUACUUUAAAAUUUCUUGACGAAACUUUAAUACUAACUUAUUAACACUCCAUAAAUAUUUAUAAAAAUAUUUAUGGCUCGAUUUAAAAUUCCCGAGGUCUCGAUACCUCAUUUUCAAUUUUAAUUAUUUUAAUAUAUAUAUUUUAGCACAUUUCACUAUUUCUAAAUUUUUCCUAACUUCACAUUUAACUUAUACUCACUAAAUUAAUAAUAUUUCCUACUCAUUUGUCGGAUUUAGUGAUCUCGAAUCAUUGUUCCGACACCACUGAAAAUUAGGUUGUUACAAAAAAUGAUAAGGGCAUUAAAUUGAUAUUGGCUUCUAAAUCGCAUAGAGCUCUAUUAAAAUAAAUGUUCCCUAUUUCUAUGGGAAUAGUGAAACUUUCGGAGUCUUUCAACUUUCGAGGUACUUGUCUUAAAAUAAUCACACUACAGGAAGCACUGAAAUUACCUUAUUCUCCCACCUUGAUUUUCUUACUUUAAAAUUUUGGCAUAUUUGGGAACCUUAUCAAUUAGCUCGAUUAAAGGUAGGUUAACAUUUAAAGUUUUAAAUAGAUUAAAAAAACUUAUGAAUUCAUCCUCAUCCCUCUUCUGUCUUUUUUCUAAUCUUGUUGGAAAUGGGACUUUCGUGAUUUCAACAUCUUUAGAUGUCUCUCUUCCUGUUUCAAUUGUUGGUGCCUUCUCUUCUUCUGAUUGAGGUCCGUCUUCUACUUCCAUGGAAUUGUCUUGAGGUUCAUUAGUAUUAUGCACAAUAACCUUCGGGGUAGGUAUUUCUAGGCUACUCAGUACCUUUCCUAAUCGAAGUGCUAUAGCUUUCAUAUGUUGUUUUCCUUCUCUCCGUGGAUUAUUUUCCAUGUUACUAGGAAUACCUAAGCCAAUUUGUCUUUUCAUAUCACCCAUCAUACUCAUCAAUUGGCUCAUUUGAUCCUCAAUCUUAGUCAAUGUUCUUAUUGAGUUAAUGCACUCAGACCAUACCUACUUGAUGUUUGAUCUCCUUAACUACAUUUCCCCCUCAAUUCUAUCCAGACAUUAACCAAAUGCAGUAUGGUCAUUUGGGUUGGUUUUGUCCUGGGGUUUCUGCAAAUAAGGAGGUUAGUAAUUUAUAUUUUUAACUUGAUUUAAAUUGUUACCUCCUCAUUGGUUUCUCCCCAUCUCAAGUUCGAGUGAUCCCUCCAGCUAGGAUUAUAUGUAUUCGAAUAAGGGUUUCCAUCUCUAUUCCUAAUGUAAUUCACAUCCUUGGCAGGAUUGUUGAUA